UUUAUUUGUCUUUACAUGUGAAAUGCAUAAAUUACAACCAACUGGGCAAAAAUGGGAUAAAAAAAUUGCGGAAAGAUGCCUAGGCUACCGCCAUUGGGGUGUUUAAUCAUUUAGCUUGGACUACUUUCUUCCUGUCAGCACCGAGACCAUGAAGCGAUGCAUCUGUGAAGAAAGUAUCAAACAUUGAUGGAAUAUGUGUGUAAUCUAGCAAUGCUUUGACAAUCGAUGACGUUGUCCUCUCCUUCCUGCUGCCCUUUCCCAUCCUCUCUGCAAGAACUCUACCUUUCAUUUGUGGAAGGCAUGGAGACGCUGGAGCUCAUCUCAAGCCUCAUUUCUCUCACCAAAUUAUUUAUAUCAGAUUGUGGAGAGGGUCUACGAUUCAAGGACCUGGGGCCUCUCCUUACCACUGGGGGACAGCUCAAAGAUUUAACCGUCUAUCGGAACCCAAAAUUCUUUGCUGGAUGGGAGCGCUACUGCUGCAGAAUGGAAGAGACGAGCAGGAGCAGGAGCAGGAGCUGCAGCAGAUCGUAUCCCCUUCUGCAGAGUCAUUCAAACUGUUGGUGCUCUGGACGGAUGAGGCCGUGGGACUGCUUGCUGUACCCAUCUGCAGCCUUCUGUCUUCCUCCCUCACCAAGCUGUGCCUUUUUGGGACCUACCAAGAGAUGGAGAAAUUCACCAAGGAGCAAGAGCACGCCCUUCACCUCCUCGCCUCCCUCCAGGAACUCCAUUUCAGGAAAUUUGGCAAGCUUCUGAGCCUCCCAGCAGGGCUGCACAAGCUUACCAAACUCAGACAACUAUGGGUCAGGGAAUGUCCGGCUGUCCAGUCGCUGCCCGAGGAUGGUCUCCCCAUAUCACUUCAACAAUUAGAUGUCAGUGAAUGCGGCAAUGAGGAGCUAAAACAACAGUGCAGGCUGUUGGUGGGAGCCAUCCCAAAGAUGAGAAUCUAUUGCUAAUCCAAGGUAACACAAAUAUAUUUCCUUCCUUUUUCCCACCUACUUUCUUGCAUUAUAAUCUAAUAAAUGCUUUUUCCAUCUACUCCCUCCGUUCCUAAAUAUAAGACCUUUUAGAAAUUAUACUAUAAACUACAUGCGGAUGUACAUAGACAUAUUUUAGUGUAUAGAUUCACUCGUUUUGCUCCGUAUGUAAUCUUCUAGUAAAAUCCCUAAAAGGUCUUAUAUUUUGAAACGGAGGGAGUACUAUAUAUGCAUGCAGGCCUCUGCCUUGGGUUUUCCGUUGUACAUUCUUCUAGUCUUGUACAGCUCAGCUCUUGAUAUGCAUGCACUCUUGCUUGCCACAUGCAUGACACGGGGUCUUGUGAUCUUCUUCCUUGCUGUACAUAAAUCAUUUUGUACCAUGUCAAUUAUAUUUAAGAUGUGUCCUCCACUUCACUGUUCUUCUCACUCACGCUGAGAAAACCGAUGUGAUUAUCAAUGAAUGCCUUUUGGAAGUUUCUUUGUUUUCCUUGGUGGACGUACGGGAAUCAUGAAAUCGGUCAUGUAUUCACCAUCCGUUUCGGAUUUCUGUGCAGGUAUUCUUAUGGAUGUUCUUUUAGGCUUCCACAUACAGCUGCAACAACCAGUAUAUGCAAAUUAGAGCAUAAAGAAUUUGCAAUGAACUUGUUCACACAAAACAUAGCAAAUGUCAUUUCUAACCAGUGUUUAUGAAAAUGUAUUUAAUCUAUAAGAUAGCCAACUUCUUACUGAUUUCAAAUAAAAACCAAUUAUUUUCGACAUAAUGCAGAUAUUGUAAAUCAUAAAACAAUUUAAAUAAUGCACCAAGUUGUGCUUUUCUUCUAAACUAAUAGGCAUAAAUAGAAAAAUCUAGCUAAUCACAUCGACAUGCACUGCAUACAAGGUGCACUUGCAAGGAUCAAUAUUGGUAAGUUAUCUGUAGAAAUAAUGUUUUCCCCUUAGAAACUCAUAUUGACGGGGGGAAAAGAGGACGGGAAAUCAUCAACAAUGCCAAGUCAGAAAAUAACUUGUAUUAUAAAGAAUAGAGGAGAGUAUAUAUUGCAUGUGUUGAUUUUCGUUGAAUGCAUAAAAAUAAUUCAAACAACACAAUAAACCAGGUCAAAGUAAAUGGAGACUAUUGUUGCAACGUUGAAGAAAAAACAAGGAUACAUGCUAAAGGAAUUAUAUGAAUGAUGAAAAUUGUCAUUUCGCCUUGAAAGAUUCCACUGGUUGUCUUUGCAGUGCUUUGUAUAGAUUUUGAAGGCAUUUUAACUUCAAGAUUGGGAUAGAAAGCUACAGAAUACCACCAAAAAGAAGCAGUAUGUCAUAUUUUCUCACGACGAAAAGCUAUUUGUUAUAUUAGUAAAGGCCAUUAGAUCUAGUCAAGAAAGCAAUAUGUGCUCCUUAUAUUUUCUGAAGCAGUAUAACUUUGCUAGUUCAGGCAACUUCUUUGAUCCCAAAUUUGCUCAGGUUCCUCUGUACAACAGAAAUUUUUUGAGGAUCUCUAGUUACCUUUGGCAUGACUAAAAAUUAGAGAGGAUACUUGGGAUACUUGGCUUUAAUAAAAGAUAGGGCGACAAUGUAAGUGAUCUGCAAGAUAAGACACAUCCUAGACUUUACCUCACUAGUUAGUGUAUUGUCGGAAAGAUCAAGCACUUUCACUCUGAAAAUAUCAACCAGACCCAUCAUCUGCAUGUAAAAUUAAAGACCAUCCCCAAACAACUCGAACUGAAAGAUGUAAAUUUGAGCAUCACAUGCACAAAUUAAAAUCUAUAAGCUUUUACCUCAAGAGUCAAGACCUGUUAAUGAUUUUAGCCAUAAGCCGAGCUCUUGGCAAUGGUCCUCCUCCUGGCCAUUCCACCGAGCAGGCUGCGAGUUGAAACAUCAAACAUAUGAGAUGGUUACCACUAGCUAGCUUUCAAGAAACAUAUAUAUGAGAGCAUUGCCCAUUUCGGUAUUUGUAUUGCUUGACCGACAAAUGGCCGGUCAAACCAACAUUGACACAAAUCAAUAACCCCAACCUACAGGUAAUUGAAUCGAAAUGACAAAACACCAUACGGAUAAGUCCACGCGACACCUCCUUGAUGGCAGCUCGAAGAUUCACCCUAUUCGGCAUUCCAUCGAACAGGCUGCGCGCGGGGAAGAGCUCAACGCCGUGAGGACAGCGUGGAGCGCAUCAGACCAGAGCAAGGCAUUAUGCCGAGCAGGUGGCGCGCAAGGCAGGGCGUGGCAACGAAGUUGCAAUGGGCCAUGGCGGUUUCAUCCAUCCAUCCAUCAAUCGAGCAGAUCAACGGGAUGAAGGUCGAGACGACGAAGACGAGGCGGAGGAGAGGACUCACCGCCUUUGCAGCGGGGAACCAGCGGCCACCGACGAACUGGCAGUGCGGCUGGAGGUCCGCCUCCCGCGACGUGGGGAACGCGACCUGGUACACCCGCCUCGGAUCCUCGCCGGCCACCGCCGGCGCCUGCGGGGCCCUAGAGACGACGCCGGCCCACCACCCCUCGUUGUGCAGCGCCUCCACCAUGUCGUGCACCGCGAACCGCCUCGGCGCCGCGCGCGGGGGGCGCGGGCGCACGCAGGCGGCCGCCGCGGCCUCCUGGAGGGGCUCCCCGUCGUCGCCCUCCAGCGUGGAGUAGACCACCGUGUAGCAUCCGCCGCCGCCAUUGCAGGAGGAGGAGGGGGAGGUGGCCCGUGACGGUGGCCUCGUAGAAGGAGCCGGCGAAGCCCGGGUCUUCGUUGCGCACCUCCACCUCCACGCCGACCGACAGCACGUCGUCAAGGGUCCCCACCCCACGGAUCACCAUGGAUGGAUGGAUCCCCACCCCACGGAUCACCAUGAUACAUGUGCAUUUGUGACUGGUCACUCUCCAGGUUACUAAUGGCGCACCACCUACAAAUACGCCAUUAGUAACCCUGGUUACUAAUGGCGCACCAGCUCGUGGUGCGUCAUUAGUAGUUUUGCAAAAAAAAAUAUAGUAGUGGCGCACUGGGUGAGUGGUGCGCCAUUACUAGUUAAACUAAUAAUGACGCACUCUGCCCCGGUGCGCCAUUAGUUCUUUUGGAAAAAAAAAGUUUGUUAGUAGUGGCACACCAUGUGUGUGGUGCGCCAUUAGUGUCCAUCACACUAAUGGCGCACCUGCACAUGGUGCGCCACUGCUAUAGUAGUGGCGCACCACUUGUCUGGUGCGCCAUUAGUGUGUAUAUUAUCUAUAGCCCUUUUCCUAGUAGUGACGGCCACCAAGCUACAAGAGCUUUGUUUUGAACUAUAACAUGCAAGGGAUGAACAAGUCACCCGGCGAGUUAUUCGCGUUGCUGAAAGCCGUAGAGUCAGAACUCCGGAAAGAGCAUCAAGUGUUGAUGGUCAAUAAGACCACUGGUUUCAAGAGAAACGACAAAGGCAAGAAGGGUAACUCCAAGAAGAGUGGCAAGCCCGUUGCCAAUCCGACGAAGAAACCCAAGGCUGGACCUAAGUCUGAAACAGAGUGUUAUUAUUGCAAGGGACUGGGCCACUGGAAGCGCAACUGCCCCAAGUAUUUGGCUGAUAAGAAGGUGGCCAAGGAAAAAUUAGGUAUAUUUUAUAUACAUGUUAUUGAUGUGUACUUAACCAACUCUCGUAGUAGUGCCUGGGUAUUUGAUACCGGUUCUGUUGCUCAUAUUUGCAACUCGAAGCAGGAACUGCGGAAUAAACGAAGGUCGGCGAAGGAAGAAGUGACGAUGCACGUGGGAAAUGGUUCCAAGGUUGAUGCAAUUGCCGUCGGCACAGUUUCACUUCAGUUACCAUCAGGAUUAGUUAUGAACUUAAAUAACUGUUAUUUAGUGCCUCGUUAGGCAUGAACAUUAUAUUUGGAUCUUGUUUAUUGCGAGACGGUUACUCGUUUAAGUCAGAGUAUAAUGGUUGUUCUAUUUCUAUGAGUAAUAUCUUUUAUGGUCAUGCACCCAAUGUGAGAGGAUUGUUCAUAUUGAAUCUUGAUAGCGAUGAUACAUAUAUACAUAACAUUGAGACCAAAAGAUGUACAGUUAACAAUGAUAGCGCCGUGUUUUUGUGGCACUGUCGCUUAGGUCAUAUUGGUGUAAAGCGCAUGAAGAAACUCCAUUCCGAUGGACUUUUGGAGUCACUUGACUUAGAAUCACUUGACACAUGUGAACCAUGCCUCAUGGACAAGAUGACUAAGACUCCGUUCUCGGGAACAAUGGAGCAUGCAAGUGACUUGUUGGAAAUCAUACAUACUGAUGUGUGCGGUCCGAUGAGUGUGGAGGCACGCUGCGGAUAUCGUUAUUUUCUCACCUUCACUGACGAUUUGAGUAGGUAUGGAUAUAUCUACUUGAUGAAGCACAAGUCUGAGACGUUUGAGAAGUUCAAGCAAUUUGAGAGUGAAGUUGAAAAUCAUCGUAACAAGAAGAUCAAGUUCCUACGUUCUGAUCGUGGGGGUGAAUAUCUGAGUUUCGAGUUUGGUGCUCACUUAAGACAAUGUGGAAUUGUUUCACAGUUGACACCGCCUGGAACACCACAGCGUAAUGGUUUGUCCGAACGUCGUAAUCGUACUUUGUUAGAAAUGGUGCGAUCUAUGAUGUCUCUUACUGAUUUGCUGUUAUCAUUUUGGGGUUAUGCAUUAGAGACACCUGCAUUCACUUUAAAUAGGGCACCAUCAACAUUCGUUGAGACGACACCAUACGAACUGUGGUGUCGGGACCCCGAUCCUAAGCCAUAGGAAUCCAGCCUGUAACACAUCGCAUUGCUUUGUGGUCUCACGCACGGUUAACUCCACGGCUGCAGCCUUACCUUAGCCGGGACCGUUUGCGUCUUUUGACUCACGUAUGCGAUAGUGUCGCUAGCAAUCCAAUGUCAAAGAACCCGGAUCAACAUGUCUAGUCAUAAACCAAAGUGGCAGUACCGCACAAGGACAGGCAUACAUGACCCAACAAAGCAGGUGUCGGUCAUCAGCGAAUGUAGACGAGUCGUAGCAAGCUACAAGGACUCCAUUACAUCGCGUGACACUUCCCCAAAGGGGACAGACACAACAGCUAAGAAGGACACAUGCCGGUCAACCAAUGUGUCCGGAGCAGUAGCGAACUACCAAGGCUCGUUGGAUCACAAAGGGGCAUUUCCUUGUAAGGAGUGCUACUAAAGUUCACGACUAGGUAAUCGAACCCCAUACAUAUCAAGUACGACACACGUACGCAUGGCAUACCGAUAUGUAUAGAUACAUCGAUGGCAUCACAACAUAACCAUAAACAUACAAACUUUAUUUAAGAGGCUCGGAAGAGCCACACACAUAAUAUUACACAUCAAGGGUCUCACGACCCAUGAUAGCAGUCAUUCAAUUACAAGCCAGCGGAAGAGUUAUAAACUGUCUGGGUACAGACAGGGCAACUAGAAGGCACAUGGCCUGACUAUACUACAGAGCCGAUGUAGGGCCAGAUCGUAGCUGGGACACCAGCUACUCGUCGUCGUCGAUGUCUACGAAGAACCCUCCAUUAGGGUCAUUAGCAACCUCUGCAACAUUUAUUAAGCAAACAUGAGUACGAAGGUACUCAGCAAGACUUUAGGAUGACUAACUACUCAUGCAAGGUAUCAAAAGGUGUUGUCGGGUUUCAUGCGGAAAGCCAGCAUUUGACUCGUGGCUAGACAACUUGCAUUUUUAAAUAAUUUUGACAACUUGAUUUCUUGCACACGAGUCCAUUAACAUCACAACAAUACUCUAUCGUGGAAUCAUUCCGUCUCCGUACGGAAAUGCCGUCCACGACACUCACGCUUAUCUUGGCAAUUUUAUGAGUAGCCAUCGAAGUUAUCUAUGAACAACAUAUGUCUCCAAGUAGUCCAUAUCCGCGGACGCGGCUAUUCGAAUAGAUCAUAACCCUGCAGGGGUGUACUUCGUCACACACGCUCCCGCCACUUAUCGCCAUGUGCACAUCAUGCACCUCGGCAACCUUCAAGCGCAAGCCCAGCGAGGGAGUCGGCCACGACCGUUAACCACACUAGUACCUAGUCCAGGUUUAUCGCCUAUCUGAGAGUAACCCGUACGGAAGUCCGGCCGAGGUUUCCGCCACGGCCUCAAACGAUGUGCGCAGGGUUGCCAAGCCCACCAUCCGGGUGCCACUUGGUACACCGUGCCACUGCCUACCGCAUCACGGCCCACCUCUCAGGUCAGCACCAUACACGGCCUCCAGCAUUACUAUAAACACCAGAAACUACUUGCAACUCCUGGACCAAGUACUACGCGAUUAAUAGGCCGAGCGGGGUCAUAUUUCAGAGCCCAGCAUGUGGUAGUAUCUAGUCCUUGAUUACAUACACGGAACUCAGUUCCUAAGGACGGUUCCAAUGAAACAACCCGCCAUGUACUCCUACACAGCCUUUCACCGGUACCUUUACGAAAUCAAGUUCAACACACAACCUUUGCUCACCAAACACAUUCCACAAUUCUGUUCAUCUCCCAGAUGACAGACCAUACACAACUCUAAGCAUAGCAUGCAUAGCAGGAUAAGGCACAUCAUAGCUCAAGCAACUACCAGGUAUGCUAGGUUGCAAGGUUCGGCUAUUUACUGUGACAAGGUUAGGUCAUGCAAAGGAAGUGGGUUCAACUAUCGUGGCAAAAGAAGUUGAAGCAUUUGAUCCUAAUGCAAUAAAUAAGUGCAGGAGCAAGAACAUUGGAAUUAUCGGGAUGAUCAAAAGGGUUUCUUGCCUUGUUGCUCAGAGGAGGAACAAUAUCCGUCAGACGGAUAUUUGGUGGAAUCCGGGGGUGCGGAGCCGACCGAAAUAAAUGGCAACAUUCAAUAACAAUCAUAUGCAAUCAAAAUGAUGCAUGAGCAUGGCAUGAGAAUGCAAGGUGAUAAGUUAUUAUAAUCAACAUGUAUUAGGUUUAAAGUUGAUUUGAAUCACAUUCGAAUAUCAAUUCAAACGGGUAUUCUCGGAUACCAUUUUAAUUGAUUCGACCUGAUGCUCAGAUCAACUUGAUGUUAGCAUGCAUGAAAUGUCAUGUUUUUCAUAUAUAACUUAUUUUCAUUGGAGUUACAGAUUAAUUUCUAUGAUUUUUACAAGUUUUAGCAAUUUACUGGAAUUAUUUCUAUACUGGAAAUUCUAUUUAUUGCAUCACGCUGACGUCAGCAGGUCAGCCGACCUGUUCAGGUCAAACCUGACAGGGGGGCCCCACUGGUCAGCCUCUCUGGGACUAAUCCCGCGCUGACCAGCCCCUAAUUGGGGUUUGACCAGGCGUGGGGCCCUCUGGCAGCGACUGAGGGGAGGGCAAUUACGCCCUAAUGGUCGGCCACGUCGACGCCCACCGGAGGGUGGUCGCCGGCGACCAAGCCCGCGGCAGAGGGCUCGCCGGAGACGACCUAAUCGGCGCUGCACAGCACCAAUUUGAACGCGGUUUGCAGCUACGGAACGCUGGUGAAGUGGCCGAUCUGGCAGGGGCAUCAGGGGAGGCUAGGGUCGCCGGGAGAGGCGCCGGCGACGAGCCGGAGCGGCGGCCGAAGCUCGGCCUUCUACGAGCGAUGGUUCUAGGGCACGGGGAGGGCAGCUGGAGGGCUCAUCGCACUCCUGGAGGCUCCAGGAGCUCGAAUCCUAGCUCGAGCGCGUGGAUCAGACACCACAGCGACGGCAACGACAUGACCGGCGGCGAGAAGCUCUCGGCCUUGGUGGGGAACGAGGCUACGAUGCACGGGAGAGCGUGGGGCGAGAGGGGAAACGACGACGAGCUCACGACGGUUCCGAUGGUGCUGUUGAGGGGCUCGGGGAUGCGCCGGAGGUAGCGAAUCGACGGGAGAGGUCCGGCGGCCGGAGGUGGAAGACGAUGGCGUUGGGGGCGAUGCAAAGCUCGGGGAAGCUUCGGCUUCUGCAGAGAUGACCAGGGCGACGAGGCGGAGCUAACAGACUACUCGGAGGAGGGUUCCCAUGGCUAGAGGUGCUGCGGCUCGAGCUCGAGCUCGGCUCCAAUGGCGGCAGCAGGAAGGAGGGCAAGAUCCGAGAGGAGGGAGAGAGUUAGCGCUGGGAAUGGAUAGAGGAGGCCUCGGGGAGCUUAUCCCCGGCCUUGCCAGCGCGAGGCGGCGGCCAGGCAGGCGCACAGGUGCGUGGCCGCGCCGGAGGAGGCGGCGGCCACCUCCUGCUCCUACUGGCGCGAGGGAGGGGACGAGCCAGGGAGAUGGGUCGGGCCAGGCUAGGCGACAGGUAAGAGUUUCCCAUUUUUUUUCUGUUUUUGUUUUUCUGUUUUCCUAACUAUUGUUUUGCUAUUUAUUUCAGCUCCAAAACAAAAAGUUUUUUAGACCUCCUGAAAUAUUGUUAUAAUAUUCCCAACCAUUUCCAAAGUUUUCAACAAUUUUGAAAAUUUAUAGUUUCUGAUUUCAAAUUUAAAAUUUGAAACCAGUGGCUUUUGCAUUAAUUUAAAAUGCUUAAAGUGUCAAGAAAAUAGUUUUCUCCAAUGCUCAUUUACUUUCAUGAUUUAUCAGAAAGUUUGAACAUUUCUUGAGGCCAUUUUGGGUUCAUUGAUUUCAACUCGUUUGAGAUUUUCUUUAUUUAAAGUAGUGGCUAGAGUUUUGAGUUUUUCCUUUGCCACUUUCUUGUUCUUGUUGAAAAAAAUUCUUAGAUGCAAAUGCAAAGAAGACAUGAGCACAAGACUAACUUGCUUAAAGUGUCAGGGAUGUGACAUGUGGUAUGUCAAAAGACCGAAGUUGUCGUUUCUUAAAGUUUGGAGAUGUGAUGCUUAUGUCAAAAAUCUUCAGCCAGAAAAGCUCGAACCCAAAGCGGAACAGUGCGUCUUCAUAGGUUACCCAAAGGAGAUAGUCGGUACACCUUCUAUCUCAAAUCCGAGGGCAAAGUGUUUGUUCCUAAAAACGGAGCUUUUCUUGAGAAGGAGUUUCUCUCGAAACUCGAAAGAAUUGAGUGGGAGGAAGAUAGAACUUGAUGAGAUUGUCGAACCUCUAGUCCCUCUAGAUCAUAGCGCAGGGCAAGGGGAAACCCUUGUCAAAGCGACGCCAGUUAAGGAGGAAGUUAAUAAUGAUGAUCAUGAAACUUCGGAUCAAGUUCCUAUCGGACCUUGCAGGUCGACAAGAUCACGUACUACUCCUGAGUGGUGCGGUAAUCCUGUCUUAUCAAUCAUGUUGUUAGACAACAAUGAACUUGCGAAUUAUGAAGAAGCAACAGUGGGCCCGGAUUCCAACAAAUGGCUAGAGGCCAUGAAGUCCAAGAUAGGAUCUAUGUCAAAGUGUGGACUUUGGAAGUAUUACUUGAAGGCCGCAAGGCUAUUUAGAACAAAUGGAUCUUUAAGAAGAAGACGGACGCGGACGAUAAUGUGACCGUUUAUAAAGCUCGACUUGCGGCAAAGGGUUUUUCACAAGUUCAAGGAGUUGACUACGAUGAGACGUUCUCACCGGUAGCGAUGCUUGAGUUCGUCCGAAUCAUGUUAGUAAUAGCUGCAUUUUUCGAUUAUGAAAUCUGGCAGAUGGAUGUCAAAACGGCGUUCCUUAACGGUUUUCUUAAGGAAGAGUUGUAUAUGAUGCAACCCGAAGGUUUUGUUGAUCCGAAGAAUGUUAACAAAGUGUGCAAGCAUCUCGGAGUUGGAAUAAGUGCUUUGAUGAGGUGAUCAAAUCAUUUGGGUUUAUACAAGUUGUUGGAGAAUCUUGUAUUUACAAGAAAGUGAGUGGAAGCUCUGUGGCGUUUCUAAUAUUAUAUGUGGAUGACAUAUUGCUGAUUGGAAACAACGUGGAGUUUUUGGAGAGCGUAAAGGAUUACUUGAAUAAAAGUUUUUCUAUGAAGGACCUAGGAGGAGCUGCUUACAUUCUAGGCAUUAAGAUCUAUAGGGAUAGAUCGAGAUGCGUGAUAGGACUUUCACAAAGCACAUACCUUGAUAAAGUUUUGAAGAAGUUCAAAAUGGAACAGUCCAAGAAGGGGUUAUUGCCAAUGUUACAAGGUAUAAAAUUGAGUAAGACUCAGUGUCCAGCAACUCCGGAAGAUAGAGAACAAAUGAGUUCCGUCCCCUAUGCUUCAGCCAUAGGUUCUAUCAUGUAUGCAAUGUUGUGCGCUAGACCAGACGUCAGCUUGGCCAUAAGUAUGGCAGGCAUGUUUCAAAGUAAUCCAGGAGUGGAUCACUGGACGAUGGUCAAGAAUAUUCUGAAGUACCUGAAAAGGACUAAGGAAUUUUUUCUCGUUUAUGGACGUGAUGAAGAGCUCGUCGUAAAGGGUUACGUCGACACAAGCUUUGACACUGAUCCGGAUGACUCUAAGUCUCAAACCGGAUACGUAUUUAUUCUUAACGGGGUGCGGUAAGCUGGUGCAGUUCCAAGGAAAGUGUCAUAGCAGAUUCUACAUGUGAAGCGGAGUACAUGGCUGCCUCGGAGGCAACAAAGGAGGGUGUCUGGAUGAAGCAGUUCAUGACGGAUCUUGGAGUUGUGCCGAGCGCACUAAAUCCAAUAAUGUUCUGUGACAACACUGGUGCCAUUGCUUUAGCAAAGGAACCAAGGUUUCACAAGAAGACCGGGCACAUGAUAACCCACAAGUGUAGGGGAUCGCAACAGUUUUCGAGGGUAGAGUAUUCAACCCAAAUUUAUUGAUUCGACUCAAGGGGAAGCGAAAAAAUAUUCUCAAAUAUUAGUAGCUGAGUUGUCAAUUCAACCACACCUGAAAGAUUAGUAUCUGCAAGCAAAGUAUCAGUAGCAAAGUGGUAUGAUAGCAACGGUGCCAGAAAAAGGUAUGUUGAUGGCAGACUAUUCCUAACUUGUUGUAUCAAUGGCGCCAAAAAAAUCUUGCAGCAGGUAACAGCAAAGUAGCAAGUAACAACAGUAGUGACAGCAGUAGCAACAGAGUAACAGCAGUAGCAACAGAGUAACAACAGUAGCAAGGAACAACAGUAGUGACAGCAGUAGCAACAGAGUAACGUAACAAGGACCAGUAGUAAAAGACUCGUAGGCACUGGAUCGGUGAUGGAUGAUUCUGCCAGAUGUGAUUCAUCAUGUAACAGCUAUAACAUGGAGAGAUAAGUAACUAGCUCCCGUUCGUCAAUCUAAUGUAGGCAUGUAUUACGUAUGUAGUCAUACGUGCUUAGGGAAAAGAACUUGCAUGCCAUCUAUUGUCCAUCCCUCCCAUGGCAGCGGGGUCCUAAUGGAAACUACGGGAUAUUAAGGUUCUCCUUUUAGUAAAGAACCGGACCAACGCACUAACACUUGGUGAAUACAUGAACUCCUCAUACUAUGGUCAUCUCUAGGAGUGGUUCCGGAUAUUGUCACUCCGGGGUUGCCGGGUCAUAACACAUAGUAGGUGACUACAACUUGCAAGAUAGGAUCUAAAACACACAUAUAUUGGUGACAACAUAAUAGGUUCAGAUCUGAAAUCAUGGCACUCGGGCCCUAGUGACAAGCAUUAAGCUUGGAAAAGUAGUGGCAACAUCAAUCUCAGAACACAGUGGAUACUAGGGAUCAAUCCCCGUCCAAACUAACUCAAUUACAUGAUAGAUCUCAUCCAACUCAUCACCGUCCACCAAUCCUACGAUGAGAUUACUCACGAACGGUGAAGAGCAUCAUGGAAUUGGCGAUGGAGGAAGGUUGAUGAUGACGAUGGCGACGAUUUCCCCUCUCCGGAGCCCAAAACGGACUCCAGAUCUGCCCUCCAGAUGAAGAACAGGAGGUGGCGGCGCCUCCGUAUCAUCAAACGCGAUGAAUCCUUCUCCCUGAUUUUUUCCGAGCAAAACGGAAUAUAUAGAGCUGAGUUUGGACGCGGUGGAGCCUCGUGGGCCCCACAAGCCUGACUGGUGCGGCCUGGGGGGUGGUCGCGCCCCCUGUGCUUGUGGCCCACUGGCUCACCUCCUCUGGUGGAUCUUUGCGCAGGUAUUUUUCAUUAAUUCCAGAAAAAUUCUCCGUAAAUUUCCAGGUCAUUCCGAGAAUUUUAUUUCUGCACAAAAACAACACCAUGGCAAUUCUGCUGAAAACAGCGUUAGUCCGGGUUAGUUCCAUGCAAAUCAUGCAAAUUAGAGUCUUAAACAAGAGCAAAAGAGUUCAGAAAAGUAGAUACGACGGAGACAUGUCAACUCCCCCAAGCUUAAAGCCUUGCUUGUCCUCAAGCAAUUCAGCAAGAUCACAAGCAAACCACAUAAGCAAAUGACAUCUAGGUCUCACGGUAAACUCAUAUCAAUGGCAUAAUCAACUAGCGAGCAAAUAAUAAUAAGUCUCAAAUGUCAACACUUCAAUCAAAACAACAUGAAGCAGUACGAAUAGAUGGUAUCUCGCUAGCUCUUCUGAGACCGCAAAACAUAAAUGCAGAGCACCUUCAAAGACCAAGGGCUGACUAAACAUUGUAAUUCAUGGCAAAGAAGAUCCAGUCACAGUCAUACUCAACACAGUUAAAAUCAAAGCAUAAAAAUGGCAGGGGUGCCCCCUAAUUGGUGCUUUUAUAAGAGGACGAUGACUCAACGGGAACAUAAAUAGACAGGCCCCUCGCAGAGGGAAGCAUUGAUUUGCAGAGGUGCCAGAGCUCAAGCUUUGAAAACAGAGAUAAUAAUUUUGGGUGGCAUGCUUUCAUUGUCAACGCAAUGACUAAGAGUUCUCAACAUCUUCCAUGCUACACAUGCUAUAGGCGGUUCCCAAACACAAAAGUAAAGUUUUGACUCCCCCACCAGCAAUCAAUCACACUCCACGGCUAGCCGAAUCCGCGGGUACCGUCCAUACCAACAUCAAUCAUGGGGGAGUUUUGUUUGCAAUUAUCUUUUCGAUUUGAGCAUGGAACUGGGAAUUCCAAUUACCGGCCCCUUUCUCGUGAAUGAUAGUAAAUAAACACAUAUCGAGGAUAACACGCCUAGCAUGGAAGAUACUAAUAGCCCCCUGUCACAACAUGAGCGGUUCGAGCACGCAAAACAGAUUAUUUCUUGAAGGUUUAGAGAGUGGCACAUGCAAAUUUACUUGGAACGGCAGGUAGAUACCGCCUAUAGGUAGGUAUGGUGGACUCAUAUGGAACAACUUUGGGUUUAUGGAAGUGGAUGCACAAGCAGUAUUCCCGCUUAGUACAAGUGAAGGCUAGCAAAAGACUGGGAAGCGACCAACUAGAGAGCGACAACGGUCAUCAAAAUGCAUUGAGAUUAACUAACAUUGAGUGCAAGCAUGAGUAGGACAUAAAUCACCAUGAACAUGAAUAUCAUAGAGGCUAUGUUCAUUUUGUUUCAACUACAUGCGUGAACAUGCGCCAAGUCAAGCCACUUGAAUCAUUCAAAGGAGGAUACCAUCCUAUCAUACUACAUCAUAGUCAUCUCAACAUUCAUGUGGGCAUCCAAGACAAACCAGUAUAAGCUCCUAGCUAAUUAAGCAUGGCAUCAACAACUAUGAUCUCUAAGUUGUCAUUGCAAACAUGUUUCUCUCACAACAAAGCUGAAUCACGCACAGUGAGCUAGUCAUAUUUACAAAAACAAAAUAGAUCGAGUUCAUACCAGCUUCUCCAGGCUCAGUCACUUCAUCAUAUAUCGUCAUUAUUGCCUUUCACUUGCACAACCGAACGAUGUGAACAAUAAUAAGCGUGCUCGUGCAUUGGACUACGCUUUAAUCUACAGGCAAACACAAAGGAGAAGACAAAGUAAUAUGGCUCUUGAUAGCUAAACAGGUAUGCAUGCGAGAGCCACUAAACAUUGUAACCAUGGUCUUCUACCUUGACCCAAAGAAAAAGAGAACUAUCUACACGGGAAAGCUCCCACCAAGCAAAAGAAGAAAAAGAAAAUAUUUUUGGGUUUUCUCAAACUAGAUAGACACACGAAAAGAAAACAAGAAAAAGAAAAUAAACUAGCAUGGAUGAUACAGUGGCAAAGUGUGAACACCGAUGAACAAAGUGAAAGCAUAAGCAAGAAUGUAAACUCGGUGAGAACACGUACUCCCCCAAGCUUAGGCUUUUGCCUAAGUUGGUCUACUCCCAAGGAGGGAAAUAACCAGCUCUGGGGUACUCCGGAGUGGACUGAGGAUGCCACUGCUGUGUGAGCUCCUCUGGCUCCCACUGAUAAACUGGCGUCUGGUACUCGACUGGUGGCUCUGGCACGAGCACCUGUGGUUGGGCUAAGCCCCAAUAUGCGUAGAUGUCCGAGGGCAUAAUAGUGUACAUGUAUUCAUGAAGAUUGAACAAAGAAGGAGCAGGCAAAGUAAUAAUCUCACGAGUACCCUGACUAAAUACCAGGUUAUAAAUUAUCCUUCUAUUUAUAUCUCUAUCAAGAAAGUCAUGGCGAACCAUGCUAUCGUAAUCUACAUAUCUCUCGAGAAGAAGAAUCUCUUCUUCCUCUUCGAGUCUAAUAGGUAUCUCAAAAUGUCUGGCAAGACGAGUAGCGUAGAUACGUCCGUAGACAACGCCUUUACAACAGUUCAUGUUUAACCGUUGAGCUACUAUAACGCCCAAGCUAUAAGUUUUAUCGUUAUAAAGGGCUUCGUGCAAGACCGCAAGAUCUGGGGAGCUAAGGGACCCGGCCUUCCCACGGCUAAUCAAACAUUUUCCCACAAAUAGUGAGAAGUACCGAAGCACGGGAAAAUGAAUGCUAGUAGCUCUAGCGCAAGACACUCCCUCUCCUCUCCUACAGCAAUUGUAUCGAUGAAAGCUUCCAAGUCCCGUGGACGAGGUUCAUGAAUAUUCCCAACAAAAGGCAAUUUGCAAACAUUGCAAAAAUCCUGGAGUGACAUGCGCAGGGGGAUAUCAUAAAGUUUGAACUCAACCAUAGGAGGAUUCUUCCUCGGAUAGAAGUUAAAGCUUUGUAGGAAGAUAUUAGUGAGGAGUAGGUAUUGCGGACACUUAUCUUCAACGAAGGUGGUAAGACCUGCGUUCUCCACCAAGUGAUAAAAGUCUUCAUAAAGUCCAGCGACGCGUAAGAACACAUCGCUUGGCCAUUCGCAUGCUCGAACUUCCGCGACUCGAGGGACCAGAUACUUGGGCUUCUUAUCACUCCCAUCAUCCUUGGAGUCACGACUUGAAGAGCCUCUUAAGAAUCUCCUCAUCUUUUCCCUUUUCUAUCUCUGAAAAUUUCUGAAAUUUUUAGUGAUUCUAAGGAAAAGUGAACAAGGCUCAACAAAACUCCUAGCAACUACUCCCACAAGUGCCUAGAGGCCAUAUUACGCAUCAAAACUACUUGGCACCAGCUAAAAUUAGCAUGCAAAGCUCAAGAACAUGGUCACCAAGGCAGCAAAAAUAUGCGGAGUAUAAGGCACUAGAGCAAAAACUAAUUGGACCAAUGGAGGAGUCACUUACCAAGGAGUAAUUUCCCCAAAACAGUUCGAAGAAUGGUGCUUUGAGCAAAGAGAUCGAAAAUCCCAGCAAGAGGAGCAAGAACACGGGUUUGAGCUGCGAAACGAUUUUUUCUAGAGGUAGGAGAACCAGAUGAGAGCAAGAAUGAGUGGAGGGGGUGCCUGUGGGCCCCACAAGCCUGGGUGGCGCGGCUAGGGGGUGGCCGCACCCCCUGGGCUUGUGGCCCACUGGUGCAGCCCCCUGACAAGCUCUUCGUCUUAGUAUUUUUCAAAAAAUCCAGAAAAAAUCAUACUUGAUUUUCAGGACGUUCGGAGAGCUUUUAUUUUCGGGGUAUUUUUCCACGGGACGCUAAAACAGAAAAUAGGGAAAACUAAACUAAAUAUAUCAUUUUUCUUCUAAGCAACCGAAGGUGAAAGCUUGGAACAGAGGUUUGUGACUCCUCGAUUCAUCCAUCUCAUGGUCAUCGAAAGAAAUCCGUCAAUGGGGUUGAUCAAAUCCCCUCGACAAAACUUCUCGAAUCGCAAAAGAAGACGGAGAAUUUUUGAAAAGUCACUAGGUUACCUCAAUGGGGAUGUGUAUCUACCCAACAAGCAAAUCAUACUUCAUCUUGACAUGAGGAAUAGGGCAUUCAAAGCUUCCAAUAAGAAUCGAUGAAGUCUUUUCGAUAGCAUUGAUGCAAUGUACUCGAUAUUGUUUCUUCGGAAAGUGCACCGUAUGCUCAUUACCGUUGACAUGGAAAGUGACAUUGCCUUUGUUGCAAUCUAUAACAGCCCCUGCAGUGUUUAAAAAGGGUCUUCCGAGGAUGACAGCCAUGGCAUCGUCCUCGGGAAUAUCCAAGAUAAGAAAGUCUGUUAAGAUAGUGACGUUAGCAACCACAACAGGCACAUCCUCGCAAAUGCCGAUAGGGAAAGCAGUUGAUUUGUCGGCCAUUUGCAAAGAGAUUUCAGUGGGUGUCAACUUAUCCAGUUCAAGUCUACGAUAAAGAGAGAGAGCCAUAACACUAACACUGGCUCCAAGGUCACAUAAACCAGUUUUAACGUAGUUAUCUUUAAUGGAGCAAGGUAUAGUGGGCACAUCGGGAUCACCUAGUUUCUUAGGAGUUCCACCCUUGAAGGUAUAAUUAGCGAGCAUGGUGGAAAUAUCAACCUCAGGUAUCCUCCUCUUAUUAGUCACAAUAUCUUUCAUGUACUUAGCAUACGGAGACAUUUUGAGCAUAUAUGUCAAACGCAUUUGCAGAAAGACAGGUCUGAUCAUUUCAACGUAUCGCUCAAAAUCCUCAUCAUCCUUUUCUUUACCAUGCUUCCUAGUAGUGAAGUCAUUCUUAUCGUAUCUUCUAUUCUUAGGCUGUGGGUUAUCAAGAUCAACAGGUUCAAUCUCCACAUCCUUAUCAUUGCUAGGUUGAGCAUCAUCAUGAACAUCACUAUUGAUAUCAUCAUUAGGCUCAUGUUCAUCACCAGAUUGUGUUUCAGCAUCAGAGACAGAGACAUCGUUUGGACUCUCAGGUGUAGCAGCAACAGGGUUGCUAACGUGCAGGUUCCUAUCAUCUUUCUUCUUCUCUCUAGGAUGACUAGGUGCAUCAGUGCUAACUCCUUGAGAAUCUUGUUCAAUUCUCUUCAGAUGACCCUCAGGAUACAAAGGUUCCUGGGUCAUUCUACCGCCUCUAGUGACGACUCUGACAAAAUUGGCAUUCAACUCAUUGAGCAAGUCAUUUUGAGCCUUAAGUACUUGUUCUACUUGAGUAGUAACCAUACAGGCAUGUUUACUCAGAAGCUUAAGAUCAUUGACAUUUUUGUCCACACAAGCACUUAAAUGACUAAUCAUACGAGCAUUCUGUUCCAAUUGUCUGCUAACAUAAUCAUUGAAACUCUGUUGUUUGGCAACAAAGUUAUCAAAUUCAUCCAUGCAUAGGCUAGCAGGUUUAUCAAAAGGAAUAUCACUCUCAACAAACCUACGCAGAGAAUUUACUUCUACUAUGUGUAUCGGGUUAUCGAGACCAUGGAUCUCUUCGAUAGGUGGUAGAUUUUUGACAUCUUCAGAUUUAAUGCCUUUCUCUCGCAUAGAUUUCUUAGCUUCUUGCAUAUCUUCGGGACGGAGGAAUAGAAUACCUCUUUUCUUCGGAGUUGACUUAGGAGGUGGUUCAGGAAUAGUCCAAGCAUUCUUAUUACACAAGAUGUUAUUCAAUAGAAUCUCAGCUUGUUCUACAGUUCGUUCCCUAAAAACACUACCGGCACAACUAUCUAGGUGGUCUUUGGAAGCAUCGGUAAGUCCAUUAUAGAAGAUAUCAAGUAUUUCAUUCUUCUCAAGAGGGUGAUCAGGCAAAGCAUUCAGUAGCUGGACGAGCCUCCCCCGAGCUUGUGGGAGACUCUCUUCUUCAGCUUGAAUAAAGUUGUAUAUUUCCUGCAAGGCAGCUUGCUUCUUAUGGGCAGGGAAAUAUUUUUCAGAGAAGUAGUAGACCAUAUCAUGGGGGCUACGCACACAACCAGGAGCAAGAGAAGUGAACCAGGUCUUAGCAUCAUCCUUUAGCGAGAAAGGAAACUGCUUGAGGAUAUAGUAGUGGCGGAUCUUUUCCUCACUAGUGAAUAGGGUGGCUAUAUCAUGCAGUUUGGUAAGAUGGGCUACAUCUGUUUCAGACUCAUAAUCGUGAAAAGGAUUAGAUUCGACCAGAGUGAUCAACUCAAGGUCGACAGAAAAUUCAUAAUCAUUAUCGGUCACAAAGAUAGGCGAAGUGGAAAACUUCGGGUCGUAUUUCAUCCUAGCGUUCAGAGAUUUGUCUUUCCACUUGCGUAGUAAAUUCUCAACAUCAUAGCUAUCCUUACAUGCAAGAAAGUCCUCAACUAUCUCUCCCUCCAUAACAUAACGCGUAUCAGGCAUAUCAGGCAAUUCAGGCAUAGGAGAGCUAGUUCUAGCAGGCAAAAUAGCAGGUUCUACUUCAAUAGUAUCAGCAGUUUCAGAAGUAUCAUCACAUCUAGCAACAACUCUAGCAAGUUGUGCAUCAAGGAAUGCACCUAGUGGCAAAGCAGUAUCAAGCAUAGCAUCAUCAGGCAUAGUAUCAAGCAUAGCAUCAUCAUAAGCAUCAUGGGCAGCAGAAGUAGCUUCAUCAAGCACAGGCGACAUAUGAAGAUUUCUAGCAGGAGGUGGUGUCGCAAACUUACUCGUAACUGAAGGUGAAUCAAGUGCAGAGCUAGAUGGCAGUUCCUUACCUGUCCUCGUAGUUGAGGGCAAGACUUUAGUUCUUGGAUCUCUCAGAUUCUUCAUAGUGAUCAACAGACGUAAAUCCCAAGUGACUCAGAGAGUAUAGCUAUGCUUCCCCGGCAACGACGCCAGAAAAUAGUCUUGAUAACCCACAACUGUAGGGGAUCGCAACAGUUUUCGAGGGUAGAGUAUUCAACCCAAAUUUAUUGAUUCGACUCAAGGGGAAGCGAAAGAAUAUUCUCAAGUAUUAGCAGCUGAGUUGUCAAUUCAACCACACCUGAAAGAUUAGUAUCUGCAAGCAAAGUAUCAAUGGCGCCACAAAAAUAUUGCAGCAGGUAACAGCAAAGUAGCAAGUAACAGCAGUAGUGACAGCAGUAGCAACAGAGUAACAGCAGUAGCAACAGAGUAAUAGCAAUAGCCAGGAACAGCAGUAGUGACAGCAAUAGCAAUAGAGUAACAGCAGUAGAGACAGAGUAAUGUAGCAAGGACCAGUAGUAAAAGACUCGUAGGCAUUGGAUCGGUGAUGGAUGAUUAUGCCAGAUGUGAUUGAUCAUGUAACAGCUAUAACACGGAGAGAUAAGUAACUAGCUCCCGUUCGAGAAUCUAAUGUAGGCAUGUAUUCCAUAUGUAGUCAUACGUGCUUAGGGAAAAGAACUUGCAUGACAUCUAUUGUCCAUCCCUCCCGUGGCAGCGGGGUCCUAAUGGAAACUACGGCAUAUUAAGGUUCUCCUUUUAAUAAAGAACCGGAUCAAUGCAUUAACACUUGGUGAAUACAUGAACUCCUCAUACUAUGGUCAUCUCCGGGAGUGGUUCCGGCUAUUGUCACUCCGGGGUUGCAGCGUCAUAACACAUAGUAGGUGACUACAACUUGCAAGAUAGGAUCUAAAAGACACAUAUAUUGGCGACAAAAUAAUAGGUUUAGAUCUGAAAUCAUGGCACUCGGGCCCUAGUGACAAGCAUUAAGCAUGGCAAAGUAGUAGCAACAUCAAUCUCAGAAGAUAGUGGAUACUAGGGAUCAAUCCCCGUCAAAACUAACUCGAUUACAUGAUAGAUCUCAUCGAACUCAUCACCGUCCAGCAAGCCUACGAUGAGAUUACUCACGAACGGUGAAGAGCAUCAUGGAAUUGGCGAUGGAGGAAGGUUGAUGAUGACGAUGGUGACCAUUCCCCUCUCCGGAGCCCAAAACGGACUCCAGAUCUGCCCUCCAGAUGAAGAACAGGAGGUGGCGGUGCCUCCGUAUCGUAAAACGCGAUGAAUCCUUCUCCUUGAUUUUUUUCUGGGCGAAACAUAAUAUAUAGAGCUGAGUUUGGAGGCGGUGGAUCCUCGUGGGCCCCGCAAGCCUGGUUGGUGCGGCCUGGGGAGUGGCCGCGCCCCUUGGGCUUGUGGCCCACUGGCUCACCUCCUCCGGUGGAUCUUUGCGUAGGUAUUUUUUAUUAAUUCCAAAAAACUUCCCGUAAAUUUUCAGGUCAUUCCGAUAUCUUUUAUUUCUGCACAAAAACAACACCAUGGCAACUCUGGUGAAAACAGUGUUAGUCCGGGUUAGUUCCAUUCAAAUCAUGCAAAUUAGAGGCCAAAACAAGGGCAAAAGAGUUCGGAAAAGUAGAUACGACGGAGACGUAUCAGCACAUAAAACGACGCUUCAACCUCAUCCAUGACUACGUCGAAGGAGAGGCGUGAAUAUUUGCAAAGUGCACACGGAUCUGAAUGUAGCAGACCCGCUGACUAAACCUCUUCCACGGGCAAAACAUGAUCAACACCAGAACUGUAUGGGUGUUAGCUUUAUUACAAUGUAAAUCGCAUGGCGAUGUGAGGACUAGAUUUUUGACUCUAGUGCAAGUGGGAGACUGUUGGAAAUAUUCCCUAGAGGCAAUUAUAAAAUGGUUAUUAUUAUAUUUCCUGUUACAUGAUAAUCGUUUAUUAUCCAUGCUAUAAUUGUAUUGAAUGAAAACAUAGAUACGUGUGUGGAUACAUAGACAAAACAAUGUCCCUAGCAAGCCUCUAGUGGCUAGCCAGUUGAUCAAGGAUGGUCAAGGUUUUCUGACUAUGUGUAAGUGUUAUCACUUGAUAACUGGAUCACACCAUUAGGAGAAUCAUGCGAUGGACUAGACCCAAACUAUGAACGUAGCAUAUUGAUCGUGUAAUUUUAUUGCUAUUGUUUUUUGCGUGUCAAGUAUUUAUUCCUAUGACUAUGAGAUCAUAUAACUCACUGGCACUGGAGGAAUACCUUGUGUGUAUCAAACGUCAGAACGUAACUUGGUGACUAUAAAGGUACUCUACAGGUAUCUCUGAAGGUGUCCGUUGAGUAAGUGUAAGUCAUGGGAUCUUGUAUUACAGAACGAGUAAAGAGACUUGAUGGUAACGAGAUUGAAAUAGGCAUACGGAUACCGACGAUCGAAUCUCGGGCAAGUAACAUACCGAAGGACAAAGGGAAUGACAUACGGGAUUAUAUGAAUCCUUGACACUGAGGUUCAACCGAUAAGAUCUUCGGAGAAUGUGUAGGAUCCAAUAUGGGCAUCUAGGUCCCGCUAUUGGAUAUUGACCGAGGAGUACCUCGGGGCAUGUGUACAUAGUUCUUGAACCCGUAGGGUCUGCACACUUAAGGUUCGAUGAUGUUUUAGUAUACUUGAGUUAUAUGUGUCGUUACCGAAUGUUGUUCGGAGUCCCGAAUGAGAUCACGGACGUCACGAGGGUCUCCGGAAUGGUCCGGAAAUGAAGAUUGAUGUAUAGGAUGGCUUCAUUUGGUUACCGGAAGGUUUUCGGGCAUUACCGGGAAUGUACCGGGAGUGACGAAUGGGUUCCGGAAGUUCACCGGGAGGGGGGCAACCCACCCGGGGGAAGCCCAAUGGCCCUAGGGGUGGCGCACCAGCCCUUAGUGGGCUGGUGGGAUAGCCCAAGAGGGCCUUGGUGCCAAGGAAAGAAAAGCAAAGAAAAAUAAAAAAAAAGAGGUGGGAAGAAAGAGAAGGACUCCACUUUCCAAUCCUAAUUGGAGUAAGAUUGGAGUAGGACUCCUCCUCUCCCUUGGCCGGCGCACCCUUGAGGGAUUGGCCCUGAAGGCAAGCCUCUUCCCCCUCCCUCCUAUAUAUAGUGGUGAUAUAGGGAUGAUUUGAGACAACUUUUGCCACGUGCAACUCAACCCUAGACCACAUAGUUCUACCUCUAGAUCGGAUUUCUGCGGAGCUCGGGCGGAGCCCUGCAAGAGUAUAUCGUCACCACCACUGAAGUGUCGUCAUGCUGCGGAGAACUCAUCUACUUCUCCAUCUUGCUUGCUGGAUCAAGAAGGCCGAGAUCAUCAUCGAGCUGUACGUGUGCUGAACGCGGAGGUGCCGUCCGUUCGGCACUAGAUCGGAACGGAUCGCGGGAUGAAUCAUGGGACGGUUCGUGGGACGGUUCAUGGGGCUGAUCGAGGGACGUGAAGACGUUCCACUACAUAAACCGCGUUUCUUAACGCUUCCUAUUGUGCGAUCUACAAGGGUACGUAGAUCCAAAUCUCCUUUCGUAGAUGGACAUCACCAUGAUAGGUCUUCGUGUGCGUAGGAUUUUUUUUCCCAUGCAACGUUCCCCAACAGUGGCAUCAUGAGCUAGGUUCAUGCGUAGAUGUUAUCUCGAGUAGAACACAAAGGGUUUUGUGGAUGGUGAUGUUCGAUUUGCUGCCCUCCUUAGUCUUUUCUCGAUUCGGCGGUAUUGUUGGAUUGAAGCGGCCUGGACCGACAUUAUUCGUACGCUUACGAAAGACUGGUUUCAUCGAUUGACAUGCAACCUCGUUGCAUAAAGAUGACUGGCGGGUGUCGGUUUCUUCAACUUUAGUUGAAUUGGUUUUGACUGAGGCGGUCCUUCGAGAGGUUAAAUAGCAAUUUGCACAUCUCCGUUGUGGUUUUUGCGUAAGUAAGAUGCGAUCAUACUAGAUACCCAUAGCAGCCACGUAAAACAUGCAACAACAAAUUAGACGACGUCUAACUUGUUUUUGCAGGGUAUGCUUGUGAUAUGAUAUGGCCAAUGACGUGAUGUGAUAUAUUGGAUGUAUGAAAUGAUUAUGUUGUAAUAGUUAAUAUCGACUUGCACAUCGAUAGUAGGCAACCGACAGGAGCCAUAGGGUUGUCUUUAAACUAAUGUUUGUGUUUGGAGAUGCGUUUACUAUAUUGCUAGGACGUAGCUUUAGUAGUAAUAGCAUAAGUAGCAUGACAACCCCGAUGGCGACACGUUGAUGGAGAUCAUGGUGUGGCACCGGUGACAAGAAUAUCGUGUCGGUGCUUUGGUGAUGGAGAUCAAGAAGCACAUGAUGAUGGACAUAUCAUGUCACUUAUGAAUUGCAUGUGAUGUUAAUCCUUUUAUGCACCUUAUUUUGCUUAGAACGACGGUAGCAUUAUGAGGAGAUCUCUCACUAAAAUUUCAAGACGAAAUUGUGUUCUCCCCGACUGUGCACUGUUGCUAUAGUUCGUCAUUUCGAGACACCACGUGAUGAUCGGGUGUGAUAGACUCAACGUUCACAUACAACGGGUGCAAAACAGUUGCACACGUGGAACACUCGGGUUAAGCUUGACGAGCCUAGCAUGUGCAGACCUGGCCUCGGAACACAAGAGACCGAAAGGUCGAGCAUGAAUCGUAUAGUUGAUAUGAUUAGCAUAGCGAUGCUUACCACUGAAACUAUUCUCAACUCACGUGAUGAUCGGACUUGAGUUAGUGGAUUUGGAUCAUGUACCACUCAAAUGACUAGAGAGAUGUACUUUUUGAGUGGGAUUUCUUAAGUAAUAUGAUUAAUUGAACUAAUUAUCAUGAACAUAGUCUAAUGGUCUUUGCGAAUUACGAUAUAGCUUGCGCUAUAGCUCUACUAUUUUUAUAUUUUCCUAGAGAAAAUUUAGUUGAAAGUUGACAGUAGCAACUUUGCGGACUGAGUCCGUAAAACUGAGGAUUGUCCUCAUUGCUGCACAGAAGGCUUAUGUCCUUAAUGCACUACUCGGUGUGCUGCACCCCAAGCGUCGUCUGUGGAUGUUGCGAACAUCUGACAUACACGUUUUUGAUGACUACGUGAUAGUUCAGUGCAUAAUACUUAAUAGCUUAGAAGCAAGGCGCCGAAGACGUUUUGAAACGUCACGGAACAUAUGAGAUGUUCUAAGAGAUGAAAUUGAGAUUUCAUGCUCAUGCCCUUGUUGAGAGCUAUGAGACCUCCGACAAGAUUCUUUGUCUACAAAGUAAAGGAGAAAAGCUCAAAUUGUUGAGCGUGUUCUCAGAUUGUCUGAGUACAAUAAUCUCUUGAAUCAAGUGGGAGUUAAUUUUCCAAAUGAGAUAGUGAUGGUUCUCCAAAGUCACUGCCACUAAGCUGCUAGAGCUUCGUGAUGUACUAUAACAUAUCAAGGAUAGAUAUGAUGACCCUUGAAUGAUUCGCAAUGUUUAACACUGCGAAAGUAGAAAUCAAGAAGGAGCAUCAAUUGUUGAUGGUUAGUAAAACCACUAGUUUCAAGAAGGGCAAGGGCUACAAGGAAUACUUCAUGAAACGGCAAACCAGUUGCUGCUCUAAUGAAGAAACCCAAGAUUGAACCCAAACCUGAGACUAAGUACUUCUGUUAUGAGGGGAACGGUCACUGAGGCAGAGCUACCCUAGAUACAUGGUAGAUAAGAAGGCUCGCAAAGUCGACAAAUGUAUAUUUGAUAUACAUGAUAUUGAUGUGUACUUUACUAGUACUCCUAGUAGCACGAGGGUAUUAGAUACCGGUUCAAUUGCUAAGUGAUUAGUAAGUCGAAAUGAUAGCUAUGGAAUAAACGGAGACUAGCUAAAGGCGAGGUGACGAUAAGUGUUGGAAGUGUUUCCAAGGUUGAUGUGAUCAAACAUCGCACGCUCCCUCUACCAUCGGGAUUGGUGUUAAACCUAAAUAAUUGUUAUUGGGUGUUUGCGUUGAGCAUGAACAUGAUUGGAUCGUGUUUAUUGCAAUACGAUUAUUCAUUUAAAGAGAAUAAUGGUUAUUCUAUUUGCGUGAAUAAUUACCUUCAAUGGUUUAUUGAAUCUCGAUCGUAGUGUUACACAUGUUCAUUAUAUUGAUGCCAAAAGAUACAAAGUAGUAAUGAUAGUACCACUUACUUGUGGCACUGUCGCUUGACUCAUGACGGUAUAAAAUGCAUGAAGAAGCUCCAUGUUGAUGGAUCUUUUUACUCACUGAUACGUCUCCAACGUAUCUAUAAUUUUUGGUGGUUACAUGCUAUUAUCUUGUCAAACUUUGGAUGUUUUGUAUGCCUUUUAUAUCUAUUUUGGGACUAACUUAUUAACUCAGUGCCAAGUGUCAGUUCAUGUUUUUUUCGUGUUUUUGACCCUUUUCAGAGGAGAAUAUUAAACGGAGUCCAAACGGAAUAAAACUUCUGAAAAGAUUUUUUCUAGAAUAGAAGAUACGCAGGGGGCGUGAGAACCAAGGCAGAGGCCACCACGGGAGGCCACAAGCCCCUAGGCGUGGCCAGGGGGCACGCGCCUAGAAGGCUUGUGGGCCCCUUGUGGCUCGUCUACCCUACUUCUUCCGCCUAUAAAUCUUCGAAAAAUCCAAAACCACGGGAGGGAUCCACGAAAAUAAUUUUCCGCCGCUGCAAGCUUCUGUCUCCGCAAGAUCCCAUCUGGGGCACGUUCUGGUACCCUUCCGGAGGGGGGAUUCAGAUAUGGAGGGCUUCUUCAUCAACACCAUUGCCUCUUCGAUGAUGCGUGAGUAGUUCACCAUAGACCUUCGGGUCCAUAGCUAGUAGCUAGAUGGCUUGUUCUCUCUCUUGGAUCUUCAAUAAAAAGUUCUCCAUGAUCUUCAUGGAGAUCUAUCCGAUGUAAUCUUCUUUUGUGGUGUGUUUGUCGAGAUCCGAUGAAUUGUGGAUUUAUGAUCAGAUUAUCUAUGAAUCUUAUUUGAGUUUCUUCUGAUCUCUUAUAUGCAUGAUUUCAUAUCCUUGUAAUUCUCUUCGAGUUGUGGGUUUUGUUUGGCCAACUUGAUCUAUGAUUCUUGCAAUGGGAGAAGUGCUUGGUUUUGGGUUCAUAUCAUGCGGUGACCUCACCCAGUGACAGAAGGGGUAGAGAGGCACGCAUCGUGUUGUUUCCAUCAAGGGUAAAAAGAUGGGGUUUAUAUCUAUUGCAUGAAUUUAUCCCUCUACAUCAUGUCAUCUUGCUUAAGGCAUUACUCUGUUCGUCAUGAACUCAAUACACUAGAUGCAUGUUGGAUAGUGGUCGAUGUGUGGAGUAAUAGUAGUAGAUGCAGACAGUAUCGGUCUACUUGUCUCGGACAUGAUGCCUAUAUGUAUGAUCAUUGCCUUAGAUAUCGUCAUGACUUUGCGCGGUUCUAUCAAUUGCUCGACAGUAAUUCGUUCACCCACCGUAAUAUUUGCUAUUUUGAGAAAAGCCUCUAGUGAACACUAUGGCCCCGGGGUCUACUUCACAUCAUAUUUUCAGCCAUACACUUUUGCUUCGUUGCACUUUCCACCUUCAGAUCUCACUUUGUAAUCAAUCUUGAAGGGAUUGACAACCCCUUUAUAGCAUUGGGUGCAAGCUCGUUUGUGUAUGCGCAGGUACUCUGGACACUUGACUUUAUUCUCCUACUGGAUUGAUACCUUGGUUCUCAAACUGAGGGAAAUACUUACUGCUACUGUGUUGCAUCACCCUUUCCUCUUCAAGGGAAAAACCAACGCAAGCUCAAGAGGUAGCAAGAACAAUUUCUGGCGCCGUUGCCGGGGAGGAUCAAGUCAAGAAUAGUCUCCCAUCAACGUGUCAAUCUCUGGCGCCAGGGAUUAUUCUAAGUGAAGCUUAUCCAAGUAAGUGUCGCAAACUCAUCUCUUGCAUUUACUUUUUUGCCUCUCGUUUUCCUCUCCCCCACUUGUGAAAAAAAAUAUUUACAAAAAUAUUUGCCUUUUCACUCGCCCUUUCUUUCGCUUGCCUUCUGUUCGCUUGUAUGCUAUGUGCCUUGAAUAUGCUUGCAUCUUCGCUUGCUAAAAAUCUAUUGAUAUGGAUCCUCAUCCACUUGCUAAUCUCUUUAAGAGAUCCAAUUAUGUUGAUCCAAUUGCUAGUGAGUUGAGUGCACUUGACUUUCUCUAUGGAGUUUUGCUUGAGAUGCAUGAAUCUUAAAAUCGUGAUGAAGAAAUUUAUGAAGUGAGUCACGAGGUCUCCUUGAAUGAAAAGCAUGAUUGCAAUGGUUUCACUAUGAAUUAUAUUAGUGACAAUCAUGCUAAAUAUAUGCAAAACCCUAAGCUUGGGGAUGCUAGUUUUGCUUUGUCCUCUACUUGUUGCAAUGAUCAUGAUUGGGGUAAUGAUUUUUCUUGUGAUCUUGAAAAUUUGUUUAAGCCUCAUGAUGAAUAUGAUAUUUGCAAUAAUAUUGAAAGUGGGAUUGGAGAAGUCAUGACUUUAGUUGAUGAUAAUCCCACUAUUUUUGAUGAGCGUCAACUUUGCAUGCAUGUGGAUCAUGAAAAGAAUAUCCUUUGUGAUAGCUAUAUUGUUGAAUUUGAUUAUGAUCCCACAUGUAAUUGCUAUGAGAGAGGAAAAUAUUGUGGUAGAAUCUUUCAUGUUACGAAUUCACCUCUCGUUAUGUUGAGAUUGAUAUUGUCUCUUUCUUCUUCCUUGCAUAUGGUAACUAUUGGUUGUCUUGACAAUCUAUUUUCCGAUAAAAUGCCUAUGCAUAGGAAGUAUGUUAGACUUAGAUGUGAUUUUCACAUGCUUUAUGAUGCUCUCGUUGUGCUUCAAUUCUUGUCUUUUGUGUGAGCAUCAUUGAAUUAUCAAUGCCUAGCUAAGGGCGUUAAACAAUAGCGCUUGGUGGGAGGCAACCCAAUGAAUUUAUCUUUUCUUUUUGCUUUCUGUUUUGUUGCAUCCACACCAUCAUAAUUCUGUUAUGUUUGUGUAUUUUGUGUUUCUUUUUGUGUUUGAGCCAAGUAAAACCUUUAUGACUAGUUUGGUGAUGGUUGUUUGAUCCUGCUGGAAAAAGACAGAAACUUUUCGCUCACGAAAUUAUUUUUCAUUUUUAUCCAGAAAGAGCUUUUGAGUUGAUUCUUUUUUCUGCUCGUUGAUAUGCCAAUUUCCCAAACUGUCGUAAUUGUUCAAAAAAAUUCAGAUAGCAGAAGUAUACAGAUUGCUACAGACUGGCCUGUUUUUGACACAUUCUGUUUUUGUUGUGUUGGUUGCUUAUUUUGAUGAAACUAUGGAUAGUAUCGGGGGGUAUUAGCCAUGGAAAAGUUAGAAUACAGUAAUCUAACACCAAUAUAAAUAGAAAUCAAGUUUGCUACAGUACCUAAAUAGGUGGUAGUUUGUUUUCUUGUGCUAAUGAUAUCACGAGUUUCCGUUUAAGUUUUGUGUUGUGAAGUUUUCAAGUUUUGAGUGAUGUUCUCAUGGACAAAUGGAUAAAGAGUGGAAAGUGCUCAAGCUUGGGGAUGCCCAAGGCAUCCCAAGCCAAAUUCAAGGACACCAAAAAGCCUAAGCUUGGGGAUGCCCCUGGAAAGCAUCCCCUCUUUCGUCUUCAAUCCAUCGGUAACAUUACUUGGAGCUAUAUUUUUAUUCACCACAUGAUAUGUGUUUUGCUUGGAGCGUCUUGUAUCUUAGGAGUCUUUUCUUUUUGUUGUGUCACAAUCAUCUUUGAAGCACACCUUUUGAGAUAGACAUGCACUCAUCGUAAAUUUGCUAGAAUACUCUUUGAGCUUCGCUUAUAUCUUUUGAGUUAGGCAAUUUAGCUCACAUGUGCUUCACUUAUAUCUUUUGAGCUAGAUGACUUUGCUCUAAGUGCUUAACUUAGAUCUUUUAGAGCACGGUGGUGUUAUAUUUUGGAGAAAUAAGAACUCUCGAUCUUCACUUAUAUCUUUUUGAGAGUGAUCUAUCUGAGUAACUUGGUAGUUGGCUUGUGCUAUGAAAGUAGUCCCAAAGGUGAUAGGUACCCAAAGAGGAUACCAUAAAACUUCCAUCUUCAUGUGCAUUGAUUAGAAAGAGAAGUUUGAUUCCUCUUAAAUAUUUUGAGACAUGGAUUUGGUAAUAUUAAGAGUUAUGUUAGUAGGGUGUUGUGAAUCUAGAAAUACUUGUGUUGAAGUUAGUGAUUCCCGUAACAUGCACGUAUGGUGAACCACUAUGUUAGGAAGUCGGAGCAUAAUUGAUCUAUUGAUUUUCAUCCUUUGUGUUGCGGUCGGGAUCACGCGAUGAUUAACACCUACCAACCCUUCCCCUAGGAGUAUGAGUUUAGCACUUUGUUUCAAUUAAUAAAAAAAAAUUUGCAAUAAGUAUGUGAGUUCUUCAUGACUAAUGUGAGUCCAUGGUAUAGAUGCACUUUCACCUUUCACCAUUGCUAGCCUCUCUAGUGUCGCGCAACUUUCGCCGGUGGACAAACCCACCAUAUGCCUUCCUCAAAACAGCCACCAUACCUACCUACUAUGGCAUUUUCAUAGCCAUUCCGAGAUAUAUUGCCAUGCAACUCCCACCGUUCCGUCUCAAGACUUGUGCCGUCACUUUCAUAUUUCCAUUGCAUGAUCAUAAGAUAGCUAGCGAGAUGCUUCAACGUCGUACGCCAAUCUAGAUCGUUGCACAUCCCGGUACACUGCCGGAGGCAUUUCCUACAAAGUCAUCAUUGUCCUAAGCAUUGAGCUGUGAGUAAACAAAAGUGUGAUGAUCAUCAUUAUUAGAGCAUUGUCCCAUGUGAGGAAAUAAAAAAAUAGGCCAAAGUUGCCCACACAAAAAAAAGGAGAGAGAGAUAUGGAAAGAGGCCAAAGUGCCCAAACAAAAAAAGAGAGAAAAAGAGAGAAGGGACAAUGCUACUAUCUUUUCCACACUUGUGCUUGAUAAUAGCACCAUGUUCUUCAUGAUUGAGAGUCUCUUGUUUCGUCACCACCAUAUGCUAGUGGGAAUCUUCAUUAUAUAACUUGGCUUGUAUAUUCCAAUGAUGGGCUUCCUCAAAAUUGCCCUAGGUCUUCCUGAGCAAGCAAGUUGGAUGCACACCCACUAGUUCUCCUUUUGAGCUUUCACAUACUUGUAGCUCUAAGUGCAUCCAUUGCAUGGUAAUCCCUACUAUUUCACAUUGAUAUCUAUUAAUGGGCAUCUCCAUAGCCCUUUGAUAUGUCGAGUCGAUGUGACCAUCUCCUCCUUUUUGUCUCACAAUCUCCACCACACUCUAUUCCACUUAUAUUGCUAUAUCCAUGGCUCACGCUCAUGUAUUGCAUGAGAGUUGAAAAAAGGUUUGAGAAAGUAAGAGUGCGAAAACAAUUACUUGGCCAAUACCGGGGUUGUGCAUGAUUUAAAUUAGUUGUGUGGGGAUGAUGGAGCAUAGCCAGACUAUAUGAUUUUGUAGGGAUAAUUUUAUUUGGCCUUGUUAUUUCAAAAGUUCACGAUUACCUUGCUAGUUUGCUUGAAGUAUUAUUGUUUUCAUGUCAAUAGUAAACUAUUGUUUUGAAUCUUACGGAUCUGAACAUUCAUGUCACAUGAAAGAGGUUACAGAGGACAAAUAUGCUAGGUUGCAUUCCACAUCAAAAAUUAUGUCUUUAUCACUUCCCUACUCGAGGACGAGCAGGAGUUAAGCUUGGGGAUGCUUGAUACAUCUCCAACGUAUCUAUAAUUUUUGGUGGUUCCAUGCUAUUAUCUUGUCAAACUUUGGAUGUUUUGUAUGCCUUUUAUAUCUUUUUUGGGAAUAACUUAUUAACUCAGUGCCAAGUGCCAGUUCCUGUUUUUGACCCUUUUCAGAGGAGAAUAUUAAACAGAGUCCAAACGGAAUAAAACUUCCGAAAAGAUUUUUUUUCGGAACAGAAGAUACGCAGGGGGCGUGAGAACCAAGGCAGAGGCCACCAAGGGAGGCCACAAUCCCCCUAGGCGCGGCCAGGGGGCUCGCGCCUAGCGGGCUCGUGGGCCCUGUGUGGCUCGUCUGCCCUACUUAUUCCGCCCAUAAAUCUCCGAAAAAUCCAAAACCAUGGGAGAGAUCCACGAAAAUACUUUUCCGCCGCCGCAAGCUUCUGUCUCCGCAAGAUCCCAUCUGGGGCACGUUCUGGUGCCGUGCCGAAGGGGGAUUCGAAUACGGAGGGCUUCUUCAUCAACACCAUUGCCUCUCCGAUGAUGCGUGAGUAGUUCACCAUAGAUAUUCAGGUCCAUAGCUAGUAGCUAGAUGGCUUCUUCUCUCUCUCUUGGAUCUUCAAUACAAAGUUCUCCAUGAUCUUCAUGGAGAUCUAUCCGAUGUAAUCUUCUUUUGUGGUGUGUUUGUCGAGAUCCAAUGAAUUGUGUAUUUAUGAUCAGAUUAUCUAUGAAUCUUAUUUGAGUUUCUUUUGAUCUCUUAUAUGCAUGAUUUCAUAUCCUUGUAAUUCUCUUCGAGUUGUGGGUUUUGUUUGGCCAACUUGAUCUAUGAUUCUUGCAAUGGGAGAAGUGCUUGGUUUUGGGUUCAUACCAUGCGGUGACCUCACCCAGUGACAGAAGGGGUAGCGAGGCACGCAUCAUGUUGUUGCCAUCAAUGGUAAAAAUAUGGGGUUUAUAUCUAUUGCAUGAAUUUAUCCCUCUACAUCAUGUCAUCUUGCUUAAGGCGUUACUCUGUUCGUCAUGAACUCAAUACACUAGAUGCAUGCUAGAUAGCGGUCGAUGUGUGGAGUAAUAGUAGUAGAUGUAGACAGUGUCGGUCUACUUGUCUCGGACGUGAUGCAUAUAUGUAUGAUCAUUGCCUUAGAUAUCAUCAUGACUUUGCGCGGUUCUAUCAAUUGCUCGACAGUAAUUCGUUCACCCACCGUAAUAUUUGAUAUUUUGAGAAAAGUCUCUAGUGAACACUAUGGCCCCUGGGUCUACUUCACAUCAUAUUUUCAGCCUUACACUUUUACUUCGUUGCACUUUCCACCUUCAGAUCUCACUUUGCAAUCAAUCUUGAAGGGAUUGACAACCCCUUUAUAGCAUUGGGUGCAAGCUCGUUUGUGUUUGCGCAGGUACUCUGGACACUUGGCUUGAUUCUCCUACUGGAUUGAUACCUUGGUUCUCAAACUGAGGGGAAUACUUACUGCUACUAUGCUGUGUCACCCUUUCCUCUUCAAGGGAAAAACCAACGCAAGCUCAAGAAGUAGCACUCACUCAUUUUUGAAACGUUUGAGGCAUGCAAACCAUACUUAUUGGUAUUAACGCAUGAAGAAAUUCCAUGCAGAUGGAUCAUUUGGACUCACUUGAUUUUGAAUCACUUGAGACAUGCAAAUCAUACCACAUGGAACAAGGCACGCAGUGGAUAUCAUUAUGUUCUUACUUCACUGACGAUUUGAGUAUAUACAGGAGUAUUUACUUGAUGAAUCACAAGUCUGAAAUGUUGAAAAGUUCAAAGCUAUUUGAGAGUGAAGAUCGUCAUGACAAGAGGAUAAAUUGUCUAUGAUAUGAUCAUAGAGAUGAAUAUCUGAGUUGCGAGUUUUUGGUACACAGUUAAGACAAUGUGGAAAUUGUUUCGCAAUUCAUGCCACCAAGAGCACCAUAAUGUGAUGGUGUGUCUAAACCUCAUAGCAACGCCCUAUUUGAUAUGGUGCAUACUAUGAUGUCUCUUAUCAAAUUACCACUAUCGUUUAUGGGUUAUGCAUUAGAGACAACCGCAUUCACUUUAAAUAGGCACCGCGUAUUUCCGUUGAGAUGACACAGUAUGAACUAUGGUUUGGAGAAACCUAAGUUGUCAUUUUUGAAAGUUUCAAUCUGAUAAGCUCGAACCCAAAGCGGAUAAGCUCGAACCCAAAGCGGAUAAGUUGUCAGUUCUACACACUGGUUGCGACGCUUAUGUGAAAAAGUUUCAGUCUGAUAAGCUCGAACCCAAAGCGGAUAAAUGCAUCUUCAUAGGAUAUCCAAAACAGUUGGAUACAUCUCCUAUCUCAGAUCCGGAAACAAAGUGUUCAUUUCUAGAAACGGGUCCUCUCUCAAGGAAAGGUUUCUCUCGGAAGAAUUGAGUGGUAGGGUUGUGGAACUUGAUGAGGUUAGUGAACCAUCACUUCAACCAGUGUGUAGCAUGGCGCAGGAAGAUGUUCAUGUGGCGCCUACACUAAUUGAAGUGGAAGCUGAUGAUGGUGAUCAUUAGAGCUUUGGAUCAAGUUACUACAAACCUCGUAGGUCGACAAGGUCGCGUACUACUACAGAGUGGUAUGGUAACCCUGUCUUGGAGGUCAUGUUGUUGAACAACAAUGAACCUACGAGUUAUGGAGAAGCGAUGGUGGGCCCAGAUUCCGACAAAUGGCUAGAACCAUGAAAUCCGAGAGAGGAUCCAUGUAUGAAGACAAAGUGUAGACUUUGGAAGAACUACUUGAUGGUAGUAAGACUAUUAAGUAAAGAUGGAUCUUUAAAAAGAAGACAAACGAUGAUGGUGACUAUUCACCAUUAAGAAAAGCUUGACUUAUCUUAAAGAUGUUUCCGACAAGUUCAAAGAGUUGACUAUGAUGAGACUUUCUCACUCGUAGCGAUGCUAAAAGUGUUUUGGGAUUAUGUUAGCAGUUGUUGCAUUAUUUAUGAAAUAUUGCACAUAGGAUGUCAAAACAUUGUUUCCUCGACGAUUUCCUUGAGGAAAGGUUGUAUGUGAUACAACGAGAAGGUUUUGUCGAUCCUAAAUAUGCUAACAAGUAUGCAAGCUCCAGCGAUCCUUUCAUGGACUGGUGCAAGCAUCUCGGAGUUGGAAUAUACGCUUUGAUGAGAUGAUCAAAGCUUUUGGGUUUGUACAAAGUUUAUGAGAAACUUGUAUUUCCAAAGAAGUGAGUGGGAGCACUAUAGAAUUUCUGAUAAGUAUAUGUGGUUGACAUAUUGGUGAUCGAAAGUAAUGUAGAAUUUCUGUAAAGCAUAAAGGUUGUUUUAAAGGGGUUUUUCAAAGGAAGACCUGGAUAGAGCUACUUGAACAUUGAGCAUCAAGAUCUAUGGAGAUAGAUCAAAAUUCUAAACAGAACUUUCAAAUGAAAUGCAUUCCUUGAUAAGUUUUUGAAGGAGGUCAAAAUAGAUCAGCAAAGAAGGAGUUCUUGGCUGUGUUGUAAGGUGUGAAUUUGAGUGAGACUCAAAAGCCCGACCACGGCAGAAGAAAGAGAAAGGAUGAAGGUCGUCCCCUAUGCCUUAGCCAUAGACUCUACAGUAUGACAUGUUGUGUAUCGCACGUGAUGUGUGCCUUGCCACAAGUCUGUUAAGAGGUACAUAGAGUGAUACAGGAUUGAAUCACUGAAUAGCGGUCAAAGUUAUCCUUAGUAACUAAUGGACUAAGGAAUUUUUCUCAAUUAUGGAGGUGGUCAAAGAGUUCUCCGUAAAGGGUUAUGUCGAUGCAAGCUUUGACACUAAUCCAAAUAACUAUGAGUAGUAAAACAGAUUCGUAUAGUAGAGUAGAUAUUUGGAGUAUUUCCGAAUAGCACGUAGCAGCGGCAUCUACAAGAUGACAUAAAGAUUUGUAAAGCACACACGGAUCUGAAAGAUUCAGAACCAUUGACUAAAACCUCUCUCACGAGCAAGACGUGAUCAAACCCCAGAACUAUAUGGGUGUUGGAUUCGUUGAAAUUACAUGGUGAUGUGAACUAGAUUAUUGACUCUAGUGCAAGUGGGAGACUGUUGGAAAUAUGCCCUAGAGGCAAUAACAAAUUAGUUAUUAUUAUAUUUCUUUGUUCGUGAUAAUCGUUUAUUAUCCAUGCUAUAAUUGUAUUGAUUGGAAACUCAAAUACAUGUGAGGAUACAUAGAUAAAACAUUGUCCCUAGUAAGCCUAUAGUUGACUAGCUCGUUCAUCAAAGAUGGUCAAGGUUUCCUAACCAUAGAUAAGAGUUGUCACUUGAUAACGGGAUCACAUCAUUAGGAGAAUCAUGUGAUGGAGAAGACCCAAACUAUGAGCGUAGCAUAUUGAUCGUGUCAUUUUAUUGCUAUUGUUUUCUGCGUAUCAAGUAUUUGUUCCUAUGACCAAGAGAUCAUAUAACUUACUGGCACCGCAGGAAUACCUUGUGGAAUCAAAUGUCACAACGUAACUGGGUGAAUAUAAAGGUGCUCUACAGGUAUCUCCGAAGGUGUCCUUGAGUUAGUAUGUGUCAAGACUGGGACUUGUCACUCCGUGUGACGGAGAGGUAUCUCGGGGCCCACUCGGUAAUACAACAUCACACACAAGCCUUGCAAGCAAUGUGACUAAGUGUAAGUCAUGGGAUCUUGUAUUACAGAACGAGUAAAGAUACUUGCCGAUAACGAGAUUGAAAUAGGUAUACGAAUACCGAUGAUCGAAUCUCGGGAAAGUAACAUACCGAAGGACAAACGGAAUGACAUACGGGAUUAUAUGAAUCCUUGACACUGAGGUUCAACCGAUAAGAUCUUCGGAGAAUAUGUAGGAUCCAAUAUGGGCAUCCAGGUCCCGCUAUUGGAUAUUGACCGAGGAGUACCUCGGGGCAUGUCUAUAUAGUUCUCGAACCCGCAGGGUCUAUACACUUAAGGUUCGAUGAUGUUUUAGUAUAGUUGAGUUAUAUGUGUGGUUACCGAAUGUUGUUCGGAGUCCGGGAUGAGAUCACGAAUGUCACGAGGGUUUCUGGAAUGGUCCGGAAACGAAGAUUGGUAUAUAGGAUGGCUUCAUUUGGUUACCGGAAGCUUUUCGGGCAUUAUCGGGAAUGUAUCGGGAGUGACGAAUGAGUUCCGGAAGGUCACCGGGAGGGGGGCAACCCACCCGGGGGAAGCCCAAUGGCCCUAGGGGUGGUGCACCAGCCCUUAGUGGGCUGAUGAGACAGCCCAAGAGGGCCUUGGCGCCAAGUAAAGAAACUCAAAGAAAAACAAAAAAAGAGAGGGGGGAGGAAGAGAAGGACUCCACUUUCCAAUCCUAAUUGGAGUAGGAUUGGAGUAGGACUCCUCCUCUCCCUUGGCCGACGCACCCUUGAGGGCUUGGCCCUCAAGGCAAGCCUCCUCCCCCUCCCUGCUAUAUAUAGUGGUGAUUUAGGGCUGAUUUGAGACAAAUUUUGCCACGUGCAACUCAACCCUAGACCACAUAGUUCUACCUCUAGAUCGGAUUUCUGCAGAGCUCGGCCGGAGCCCUGUAGGAGUAGAUCAUCACCACCACUGGUGCGCCGUCACGCUGCUAGAGAACUCAUCUACUUCUCCAUCUUGCUUGCUGGAUCAAGAAGGCCAAGAUCAUCGUCGAGCUAUACGUGUGCUGAACGCGGAGGUGCCGUUUGUUCGGCACUAGAUCGGAACGGAUCGCGGGACGGAUCGCAGGACCGUUCGUGGGACAGUUCAUGGGGAUGAUCGAGGGAUGUGAAUACGUUCCAAUACAUCAACCGUGUUUCUUAAUGCUUCCUCUUGUGCGAUCUACAAGGGUACAUAGAUCCAAAUCUCCUUUCGUAGAUGGACAUCACCAUGAUAGGUCUUCGUGUGCGUAGGAUUUUUUCCCAUGCAACGUUCCCCAACAGAUUUACCCCUCAACUACGAGGACGGGUAAGGAACUUCCAUCUAGCUCUGCACUUGAUUCACCGUCUGUUAUGAGUAAAUUUGCGACACCGUGAUACGUCUCCAACGUAUCUAUAAUUUUUUAUGGUUCCAUGCUAUUAUUUUGUCAAACUUUGGAUGUUUUGUAUGCCUUUUAUAUCUUUUUUGGGACUAACUUAUUAACUCAGUGCCAAGUGCGAGUUCCUGUUUUUUCGUGUUUUUGACCCUUUUCAUAGGAGAAUUUUAAACGGUGUACAAACGGAAUAAAACUUCCGAAUAGAUUUUUUUCGGAACAGAAGAUACGCAGGGGACGUGAGAACCAAGGCAAAGGCCACCAGGGGAGGCCACAAGCCCCCUAGGCCAGGGGCGCGUGCCUAGAAGGCUUGUGGGCCCCAUGUGGCUCGUCUGCCCUACCUCUUCUGCCCAUAAAUUCCCGAAAAAUCCAAAACUGCGAGAGAGAUCCCCGAAAAUACUUUUCCGCCGCCGCAAGCUUCUGUCUCCGCAAGAUCCCAUCUAGGGCACGUUCUGGUGCCCUGCCGGAGGGGGAAUUCAGAUACGGAGGGCUUCUUCAUCAACACCAUGGCCUCUCCGAUGAUCCGUGAGUAGUUCACAAUAGACCUUCGGGUCCAUAGCUAGUAGCUAGAUGGCUUCUUCUCUCUCUUGGAUCUUCAAUAAAGUUCUCCAUGAUCUUCAUGGAGAUCUAUCCGAUGUAAUAUUCUUUUGCGGUGUGUUUGUCGAGAUCUGCUGAAUUGUGGAUUUAUGAUCAGAUUAUCUAUGAAUCUUAUUUGAGUUUUUUCUGAUCUCUUAUAUGCAUGAUUUCAUAUAUCUUAAUUCUCUUCGAGUUGUGGGUUUUGUUUGUCCAACUUGAUCUAUGAUUCUUGCAAUGGGAGAAGUGCUUGGUUUUGGGUUCAUACCAUGCGGUGACCUCACCCAAUGAUAGAAGGGUAGCGAGGCAUGCAUCGUGUUGUUGCCAUCAAGGGUAAAAAGAUGGGGUUUACAUCAUUGGUUUGAGUUUAUCCCUCUACAUCAUGUCAUCAUGAACUCAAUACACUAGAUGCAUGCUGGAUAGCGGUCAAUGUGUGGAGUAAUAGUAGUAGAUGCAGAAAGUAUCAGUCUACUUGUCUCGGAUGCGAUGCCUAUAUGUAUGAUCAUUGCCUUAGAUAUCGUCAUGACUUUGCGCGGUUCUAUCAAUUGCUCGACAGUAAUUUGUUCACCCACCGUAAUACUUGCUUUUUUGAGAGAAGCCUCUAGUGAACACUAUGGCCCCCGGGUCUACUUCACAUCAUAAUUUCAGCCUUACACUUUGUCACGCCCAAGAUGCGACCCUAUCCUCAAUUUGGCACGAAGGCCUCGUCAGGGAUUGAAGCGCAUCUCGUCGUGUCGCAAGAAUAGAUAUCAUUACAAGUACAUGUACUGAAAAGAAGAGAUAUAUAUAUGGAAUUGGCUUACACUUGCCACAAGCUACAUCAGAGUCACAUCAGUACAUUACAUAAUCAUCAAGAGUAAGAGCAGGGUCCGACUACGGACGAAAACAAAUGAGAAAAAGAAGAACGACGUCCAUCCUUGCUAUCCCAGGCUGCCGGCCUGGAACCCAUCCUAGAUCGAUGAAGAAGAAGAAGAAGAAGCAACUCCAAAAUGAACAAUCAACGCGCUCGCGUCAAGUAACCUUUACCUGUACCUGCAACUAGUGUUGUAGUAAUCUGUGAGCCACAGGGGACUCAGCAAUCUCACUUCCAAAGGUAUCAAGACUAGCUAUCGUGGGUAUAAGCCUGACAGUAGAUGUGUAGGGUACGAAAAGGAUGGGCAGAGUCCUAGCUACGGCGAGAGUGUAUGAGUUCAGGCCCCUCUACGAUGGAGGUAAUAGCCCUANGGACUAUAACCCCAUCAUUAGUCCCUGAAUGGAUUGGGGUUGGAACGACGAGGCAAUGCUUGAAGUUUGAAUCCGACCGGAACGGAUUUGGCUUGGGCGUUGCUUGCCUCGAUCCAUUUUAUCUUUUCUGAUCAACGACCCGAGUGGAAAUUUCCGUGGAACAAACUGUCGGAUACCGAGUGUUUUCGGGGUAUCUCUUGCCGCGACCCGUCAACUGACAGCGGCGGAUUUUCCGGGAUCUUCAAAUUUCGGUUUCCGCGCGCCCAGCGGGGAUGACGCUGGCGCGCUCGAGUAGCGCCUGACGCCUCGAUUCUCGCGCCUUCAACUCCUCGACUGAUAUCGCCGCGGCCGGUCGGGGGAUAAGGUUUCGGGUCCACUUGCCAGCGACCCAGUCGGAGCCUUACUUAAAUCCCGGCGGCAAGGGUUUUUCGUUACGCCCGCCGGAUCUCUCGCCAUUGUUUCGUCCUCCUCGCCUCUUCCAGCGCGCCUGCCCUCUCCACUCCUCCUCCCUCCCCGCGAACUCGCAACUUCCGCCAUGACCAAGGGUCAGACUAGCAAGAUGGAGGCGAGGAAGAAGAAGGGGNNNNNNNNNNNNNNNNNNNNNNNNNNNNNNNNNNNNNNNNNNNNNNNNNNNNNNNNNNNNNNNNNNNNNNNNNNNNNNNNNNNNNNNNNNNNNNNNNNNNNNNNNNNNNNNNNNNNNNNNNNNNNNNNNNNNNNNNNNNNNNNNNNNNNNNNNNNNNNNNNNNNNNNNNNNNNNNNNNNNNNNNNNNNNNNNNNNNNNNNNNNNNNNNNNNNNNNNNNNNNNNNNNNNNNNNNNNNNNNNNNNNNNNNNNNNNNNNNNNNNNNNNNNNNNNNNNNNNNNNNNNNNNNNNNNNNNNNNNNNNNNNNCGAGGAAGAAGAAGGGGAAGGCGGCGGCAGCGACCGUUGUCGGCGGGGUGGAUUCAAGGCGACUUCCUCCCCUCCACGGUGACGGAGGGGGAUCUGCUGCAGCUGGUGGAGGACAGGAUGAUCGUCCACAAGUCUUGGAGGCUGCCGGCGGAGAACGAGGUCGAGUCGGCGCCCCGGGAGGGGGAGCGCGUCUUGCUGCUCAGCCAUGUCUACCAAGGUUUCUCCCUACCCCCGCAUCCUUUCUUUAAGGGCAUCAUGAAUCACUUUGGGGCACAGCUUCACCACUUCCCUCCAAAUGCCAUCGCCCAUCUCUCCGCUUUCAUCGUUAUGUGCGAGUGCUUCAUAGGCUACCCCCCCCCCCCUNNNNNNNNNNNNNNNNNNNNNNNNNNNNNNNNNNNNNNNNNNNNNNNNNNNNNNNNNNNNNNNNNNNNNNNNNNNNNNNNNNNNNNNNNNNNNNNNNNNNNNNNNNNNNNNNNNNNNNNNNNNNNNNNNNNNNNNNNNNNNNNNNNNNNNNNNNNNNNNNNNNNNNNNNNNNNNNNNNNNNNNNNNNNNNNNNNNNNNNNNNNNNNNNNNNNNNNNNNNNNNNNNNNNNNNNNNNNNNNNNNNNNNNNNNNNNNNNNNNNNNNNNNNNNNNNNNNNNNNNNNNNNNNNNNNNNNNNNNNNCCCCCCCCCCCCAUUGGGGGUUGUUCAAACACAUAUUCUCUGCUAAAUCUCAGACUAUCAAACGACUCAGCCAGUCGGAUGAUAAAACGCAUCUUCUCCAACUCUGCAGAGGCUUAGGUUUCCAGAAAAAGAGUCGGAGUAGUUAUCCUGCUCUCCAGCUGAGUGAGUCGGUCAGGAACUGGCAGUCGACGUGGUUCUAUUGCCAAGACGUCGCCUGUCCGAAUGCCUCCUCAGGGCUGCCCCCUUUUAUCCUAGAUCGUCCCGCUCCACCUAAGCAGCUCGCGCUCACGAAGGCAGAAAAGCUCGACGUCCAGCCCCUGGUAGACGCGCUCGUGGACGUCGUCAGGAGGGGAGUCACCGGCAUGGAUUUGCUGGAGACUUUCCUUGGUCGGCGCAUACAACCGCUGCAGGCCCGCGACCACGCCAUGUGGCACUACUCGGGGGUCGAGGACUCCACUCGGACAAACAUCUUGAGUGUGACCGUGGAGAAGGUGGCAUCGUGGGUGCUCCAGAUCACUGGCGCCUGCGAGAACCCCAGGGGGUCACAGCGAGUGAAGGCUUUCAGUGCGGACAAUCCUCCUCCGAAUCGGGUGAGUACUAUGCGCCGAGUGCACAUAUCUGUUUUGGUUUCAUUGCUUUUUUGCAUCUCUGCCUGUCGCUUGAUGUCACCGACUGUUUUUCACGCAGAAGUGGACCAACUGGUUUUCCCCUGUCUCGAACGGGAACCGGGACGAGGAGGAGGAAGAAGGUAGCCAAGAGGGCAGCGUGGAGAGCGUUGAGUAUGUCUCCGACAGCGGGGAGUCGGAGGAAGAGAUUAGCGAGGAAGACGAGGAAGACGAGGAGCAGGACUCGCCGCCUCCGCAAUUAGAGCAUCGGACCAAGCGCCGACACGAGCCUGCCGUCCCCUCGGCUCCUCCGGCAUCUUCGAGCGCCCCGCCCGCUGCUCCAGCGGUUCCGAGCGUUCGGAGUGCCAAGAGGGCCAGGGAUGCCGCCGCUGAACCUUCGGGUCAGUCUUCCAAGGCGGCCAAACCGAGUGGGUCCAAACCUCAGAAGGCUCUGCCGCGGAUGAGGGUUGUUGUCCCCGUCACCUCCACGUAAGUGUAUUGAUCUUCUAAUUUCUUCUGAUAUCCGAGUGAACUCCUGUUUUAUUGGUCGGAUGGAUUUCACUCGACAGAGUCGCUACUUCUGCCACCUCUCCGGCACGCCAGGAGGAUGACCCCAUGGACACGGACAACGUCGUCUCGUCCCAGCCAGGUGCGUUGUAGUGACUUCGAGUGUUUUAUACUAUCGCGUCUCGAAUCGGUCCUGCUUCUUUCUUUUUCUGAGACCUCGUGUCAUUCGGCCUGUCAGGGGCCAUUUGUCUGUACGACGGCGACCAGGGGAGAGCCGAACCAGCUGCGGAGCCUGUUCUUGAGGCUGCUCCUCCUGCUGCUGCUCUCGCCGCCGACAUGCUGCCGACUAAGGCGCUGGCACAGACUGAACCGGUGCUGGUGGAUGAGGAGCCGACUGGAGCGGACCUUGGGAUGCCUCGGGAACUUCCGACGCUGCCAGGCUCGUCGAAUGUCGAGUUCAACAUCCAGCAUCUCCCGGAGGAGCAGGUGGGAGCGGCUAAGGGAGCUAUGGUGCAGGCGGAGCUGAUGGCUGGAGAAGCCAAGAGGGCCUACGACUCCGUUGCGUCCUUGUACCAGCGGAGCUUGGAGCUACGGGAUGAUAUCCGAGUAAGUGGGCUAGUAAGUAUUUACUUUUCUCUUGUAACCCACUGGGUGUUCUUGGAUAGCAUAUGUUGUUUGCAAUGGGUUCACUCUGAGUGAACCCAGUGGGUGUAGUCCCCGAGACUUCUGUCGAGUGCUUGCGCCGACAGUUGUCUUUAUACAUAUUGUCUUUACUUUGGUCAUGUCUGUAAAUAAUAUGACCGACUGCGAGCAGUUGUUGCACUCGGAGUGCACUUACUGUAAGAAUCCCCGAGAGUAAGUUGUACUCAGGUCGGGUAGUAUUGGCCUCGUAGGCGUAGGUGAUAACAUGCAUCGCAAUAGGGCGGGCCUGCUUGAGUUGCAUGCCAGUGGGGUCACUCUUAGUGAACCCACUGGGUGUAGUCCCCGAGACCGCUGUCGACUGCUUGCGUCGGCAGGGGUCUGAAGAACUUAGACUUUUAUUUGUUGAACUUUCUGAUUGUCUCUUGGUGCUGGCUGGCAGAAAACUUGUGAGAUGGGGACCGCAUACGAGACUCUGAGGGCGGAGAAGAUUCAGUUUGCGGGUGAGCGGGAUGCGGCACUGCUGGCAAUGGAUGGUAGGAAGGUGGUGCUGGCGGAGCGAGAGAAGUCGCUGGAGCAGGCGCGUGAAGCCAACAAAGUGCUGACGGAGGAAGUGGAAAAUAUGAGGAAACAGAGGAUUGCGCUCACGGGUCAGAUGGUCGUGCUGAAUAAACGAUGCAUAGCUCAGGAGAAGUAUGUCAGCGACUGGGCUCGGCAGAUGAUGACGCGUCUGGCUGGUAAGUCCUGUUUUUUGCCGAGUGUUUGUCCUAUGUACGUCACAGUCGGCGCUUAUUGCUUGCUUGUCUUGUUGGUGCAGAUUUUUGUGGUGACGCUGAAGCUGAAUCAGCUGAUGUGGAGCGGUCUAUUCUUGAGAACGUUCCACUCAAGGAAGAUGCCAACCGGGAUCUGCUCCGAGCGCACAUCCGCAUGGGCAAAGUUGGUCCUUUCAUCGGUCGACUGAGAGAAGUCGUCGGCCGAAUCGACAAGGAGCUUUGGCCUGAAGAUGAGUCGCGACAAGAGAUGGACAACUUGCUGAGUCGACUGGAGGAGGUCCCCGACCGAGUGCAGUCAUGGAAGAAAUCUGCGGCUCGUUGUGGUGCAGAUGUUGCGUUGUCCUUGGUCCGAGUUCAUUGCAAGGAGGUGCGUGAGGAAAAGCUGAAAACGUUGAAGGUCGCCAACACGAAGAAACUUCAAUUCAAAGACUUCAUGGAAACCUUCCUUGAAAGUGCCACCCGCAUCGCCGACGGAAUCGACCUGGACACCUUCGUGGAGCCCUCCAGUCCUGGCGCCGACCCAGCUGACGCGUAAGAAAACUUUUAUCCUCGGUAUGCCGAGUGUUGAUGUGUUAGAAACUUUGGCCACUGUUGUUGGCCGUUACAUUCUUGUUUCGGUGUGGGUAAGCUUGAUCCACGCCGAGCCACUAUCUUUGUUUGAACUUUAAAUCGAAUCCUUUGCUCUUGUGUUUGCAAAUUUGACUCGAGUUUUUGUUUGUCGUUUGUUGGUGAAGCCAAAGGCAAACAUUCGGAACAUGUCAGUUGUCUUGACAUCUGCAUGAACCUCAUUGAGGGUCCGUGGGAUUUCCGAUUGGAUCCGUAUUAUCACCGAGUGGAUUAGUAAGAUCGCCGAGUGGACCGGUAGGACGUACUCGAGGUCGAAGAGUACUUGGGCGAUGCAGGAUCGCAUCUAGGUUGUCGAGUGCGACUAUGAGGUUGCACUCGGGGCGAGUUGGUACUGAUGUAGUUGUCAGUUGUUUUGACAUCCACAUGAGCCUCAAUGAGGGUUUGCAACUUAUGUAGUUGUCAGUUGUUUUGACAUCCACAUGAGCCUCAAUGAGGGUCUACAACUCAUGUAGUUGGGCGAUUCUGGAUCGCAGCUGAGCCUCCGAGUGCACGCUCGUAGAAAGUUGAUACUUAGGCGAUUCUUGAUCGCAUCUAAGUGUCCGAGUGUGACGUGAAGUGCACGCUCGAAGAAAGUUAAUACUUAGGCGAUUCUUGAUCGCAGCUAAGUCUCCGAGUGUGACGUGAAGUGCACGCUCGAAGAAAGUUAAUACUUAGGCGAUUCCUGAUCGCAGCUAAGUCUCCGAGUGCAACGUUUAGUGCACACUCGGAGAAAGUUAUUCCUUAAGUGAUUACUGACCACAACUAAGUCCCCGAGUGNNNNNNNNNNNNNNNNNNNNNNNNNNNNNNNNNNNNNNNNNNNNNNNNNNNNNNNNNNNNNNNNNNNNNNNNNNNNNNNNNNNNNNNNNNNNNNNNNNNNNNNNNNNNNNNNNNNNNNNNNNNNNNNNNNNNNNNNNNNNNNNNNNNNNNNNNNNNNNNNNNNNNNNNNNNNNNNNNNNNNNNNNNNNNNNNNNNNNNNNNNNNNNNNNNNNNNNNNNNNNNNNNNNNNNNNNNNNNNNNNNNNNNNNNNNNNNNNNNNNNNNNNNNNNNNNNNNNNNNNNNNNNNNNNNNNNNNNNNNNNNNNNNNNNNNNNNNNNNNNNNGUGCAUACUCGGAGAAAGUUAGAACUUAGGCGAUUCUGGAUCGCAACUAAGUUUUUUUUUUGUGUGACCGGAGUCAGCAACUACGGAAGAAUUCUAAAUCUGCAAAAACUGAAUCUGCUUUAUAUUAUUUCAUCAAUACUUGUUCUUUACACUGCUUCAGUCGACGAUCACAUGUAGAAGCGCUUCAGGAGGUCUCCGUUCCACGCACGCGGCUCGUCUGUCUCCCUCUGGAUGUUGUAGAGUCUGUAUGCUCCGUUGUUCAGCACCUUGGAGAUGAUAAACGGUCCUUCCCAGGCCGGAGCCAACUUGUGAGGUCUUUGCUGAUCCACUCGGAGCACUAAGUCGCCUGCUUGGAAUGUGCGACUCCUGACGUGACGUGCAUGAAAGCGCCGUAGAUCUUGCUGAUAAAUGGUUGAACGAGUUAGUGCCAUCUCGCGCUCCUCCUCUAGAAGGUCCACUCCAUCUUGCCUUGCUUGCUCUGCUUCAGCUUCGGAGAAGAGUUCAACUCGUGGAGCAUUAUGAAGCAAGUCACUCAGAAGGAUUGCUUCUGCUCCAUAGACGAGGAAGAACGGUGAUCGCCCCGUUGAUCUGUUCAGGGUUGUGCGAAGACCCCAAAGUACUGAAGGUAACUCGGUGACCCAUGCGCCAGCGGCGUGUCCCACCUCUCGCAGGAGUCGGGGCUUCAAACCUUGAAGAAUAAGCCCAUUCGCCUGCUCUGCUUGUCCAUUGGAUUGAGGAUGUGCUACGGAAGCAAAAUCUACUCGGAUACCUUGGCUUGCACAGAAACCUUUGAAUCUGUCUGAGUCGAAGUUUGUCUCGUUAUCCGUGAUUAUGCUCUGAGGUACACCGAAUCUGGAGAUGAUGUCCCUGACAAACUUGACGGCUGUUGAGGCGUCGAGUUUCUUGAUGGGCUUAGCCUCGAUCCAUUUCGUGAACUUGUCGACUGCCACCAACAAAUGUGUGUAUCCCCCCUGGCCUGUCUUGAAUGGUCCGACUGUGUCUAAUCCCCAAACUGCAAACGGCCACACGAGCGGGAUUGGCUUCAACGCAGAUGUCGGCUUGUGGGACUUGUUGGAGUAGAACUGACAGCCCUCACAUCGGUCGACCAUAUCUUUAGCCAUCUCGUUCGCCUGCAGCCAGAAAAAACCAGCCCUGAAUGCCUUGGCGACGAUUGCUCUCGAAGAGGCGUGAUGACCGCAGGUUCCCGAGUGAAUAUCUUCCAGGAUCAGCUGUCCCUCCUCUGGGGAGAUGCAUCGUUGGAGAAUGCCUGAAAUGCUCUCCUUUUAUAAUUGGCCAUCAAUGACAGUGAAUGCCUUCGACCUACGGACUAUCUGCCUGGCCUGGACUUCGUCUUCUGGUAGUUCCUGUCUCAGGAUAUAUGCAAUGAUCGGCACAGUCCAAUCAGGGAUGACAGCAAGAAUCUCCAUGACCAGAUCAACCAUAGCAGGUACAUCGACUUCAGUCGGAUCUGUUGAACUCUUUGGUUGUAUUGGCUCUUCUGUAAAAGGAUCUUCUUUGACCGAAGGGAGGUGAAGGUGCUCGAGGCAGAUGUCACUCGGGACUGGUCUCUGAGUGGAUCCGAGUUUUGCCAACUCAUCAGCUGCUUGGUUCUUCAGCCUCGGAACAUGGUGAAGUUCUAGACCAUCAAACUUCUUCUCGAGCUUCCUUACUGCAUUGCAGUAUGUGUUCAUGGUGGGGUUCCUGACGUCCCACUCUUUCAUCACUUGAUUGACCACCAAAUCCGAAUCGCCGUAGACCAUCAGGCGACGGACGCCGAGUGAGAUGGCCAUACGCAACCCGUAGAGGAGAGCUUCAUACUCUGCCUCGUUGUUGGAGGAAUCGAAGUGUAUCUGCAGCACGUACUUGAGCUUGUCACCCUUUGGUGAUAUGAUCACAACGCCAGCGCCGGAGCCAUUCAACAUCUUGGACCCAUCGAAGAACAUUGUCCAAUGGGCCGAGUAGAUGUGGGUCGGUUGUUGUUGUUCUACCCAUUCUGCUAUGAAGUCAGCCAGAGCUUGAGACUUAAUAGCUUUCUUGGCCUCAAACUUGAUAUCGCAGUACAGCAUCUCCAUUGCCCACUUCGCCACUCGGCCUGACGCGUCUCGAUUGUGGAGAAUUUCUGCCAACGGAGCAUCAGAAACGACAAACACCGUGUGGUCUUGGAAAUAAUGGGCCACCUUCUUCGCAGUCAUGUAAAUCCCGUAGAUAAGUUUUUGAUAAUGGGGAUACCUCUGCUUGGAAGGGGUCAGGACUUCAGAGACGUAGUACACUGGCCGCUGAACUUUAUAUGCUUUGCCUUCUUCUUCUCGUUCGACUGUAAGAACAGUACUGACGACUUGAUUUGUAGCCGCGAUAUACAGAAGAAGGGGCUCUUUACUGAGUGGAGCAGUAAGAACCGGCUGGGUGGAAAGUAGGACUUUGAGGUCGUCGAAUGCGACUUGGGCUUCGUCUGUCCACUUGAAAGUAUCUGAUUUCUUCAUGAGUCAGUAUAGAGGAAGCGCUUUCUCGCCGAGUCGACUGAUGAACCUGCUCAAAGCCGCUAGGCAACCUGUGAGCCGUUGAACAUCGUGUAUUCUGACCGGCCUCUCCAUUCGGACGAUGGUCCCGAUCUUUUCGGGGUUGACGUUGAUCCCUCGUUCGGAAACAAAGAAACCGAGUAACUUUCUGCUGGGAACACCGAACGAACAUUUGGCGGGGUUGAGCUUGAUAUCGUACCUACGAAGGUUGGCGAAUGUUUCUGCCAAGUCAGUCAGCAGGUUGGAACCUUUGUGUGACUUGACUACGAUAUCAUCCAUAUACGCCUCCACAUUCCGACCAAUCUGGUCGAGGAGACAUUUUUGGAUCAUGCGCAUAAAGGUAGCUCAUGCAUUCUUCAGACCAAAUGGCAUAGUGAUGUAGCAGAAGCACCCGAAUGGGGUGAUAAAGGUUGUCUUUAAUUCAUCGGGACCAUACAGACGGAUCUGAUGAUAACCCGAGUAGGCAUCAAGAAAUGACAAAUGCUCGCACCCCGCAGUCGAAUCGACAAUUUGAUCUAUGCGGGUGAGCGGAAAAUGGUCUUUCGGGCAGACCUUAUUGAGGUGUUUGAAGUCGAUGCACAUUCGGAGCGACUUGUCCUUCUUGGGCACCAUGACAACAUUGGCGAGCCACUCGGAGUGGUGAACCUCGCGAAUGAAGUUGGCUGCCAGCAGCUUGGCCACCUCCUCCCCGAUUGCUUUCCUCUUGUGCGUGGCGGACCGGCGCAAGCACUCUUAGACGGGCCGAGCAACGGGGUCCACAUGCAAUUGGUGCUCAGCCAACUCCCUGGGUACACCUGGCAUGUCGGAGGGUUUCCAUGCGAAGAUGUCCCAGUUCUCACGGAGGAAUUGGGUGAGCUCGGCUUCCUAUUUAGGAUCGAGGGUGGUGGAGAUGUUCGUCGGGGCAGCAGUGUCGUCCGUCGGGUGGAUGCUGACCUUCUUUGUCUCUCCCGCUGACUGAAAUGCGGAUUCCGAAGCUGGCUUAUUUGAGCGCAUCAGGUCGGCGGGGUCAACUGUUUUCUUAUACUCGUCGAGCUUGAGGACGGCCAUCUGCUGGUCGGCGAUUCUUGAUCCUUGCUACAAGCAUUCUUCGGCUCGCUGCCGAUUGCCUGUGAUGGUGAUCACGCCUUUUGGGCCUGGCAUCUUCAGCUUCAAGUAUACGUAGCAUGGACGGGCCAUGAAACUCACAUACACUCGGCGGCCCAGGAUUGCGUGGUAAGCGCUCUGGAAAUCCACCACCUCAAAUGUGAGCUUUUCCUUGCGAAAGUUCUUGUCGGAGCCGAAAACGACGUCCAACGCGAUCUGGCCGAGUGACUUGGCCUUCCGUCCGGGGACGACUCCAUGGAACUGCAUACUGCUCUCGCUGAGUUUGGACAUCGGAAUACCCAUCCCCUUGAGAGUGUCAGCGUACAUGAUGUUCAAACCGCUGCCGCCGUCCAUGAGGACUUUGCGCAGUCGGACUCCUUCCACCACCGGGUCGACGACCAGAGCCUGUCUUCCUGGGGUGGGAACAUGCGCUGGAUGAUCUGACUGGUCAAAGGUGAUCGCAGUCUGAGACCAUUUAAGGAACUUGGGGUUGGUUGGAGUGGCCAUGUUAACCUCCCUGUUCACCAGCUUCAGUCGACUCUUGCUUUCGACGUCAGCAAAAAUCAUGAGUAUCGCAUGGACUUGGGGGAACGGAUCCUCCUUAUCCUCCUCAUCUUGUUCAUUGACCUUUUCACUCGGUUGCCCUUCGCCGAACCCCUAGAUCAGGAGGCGGCACUGCCGAGUGGUAUGCUUCGGAUAUAUGGGGUUGCCCUCUUCGUCCAUCUUCGUAUGAACCGGGCAUGGUUGGUCCAGGAUGGGAUUAUUGAACGGCUUCUUCUUGGGGUAAACUGCGCCUUCCCUUUGCCCUUGAACUUGGCAUUGGUCACGACUACAGCUUCUGCCUGCGGAGUGGAUGGAGCUUUUUGCUUUUGCUUCCGAGUGUUGCUUCCAUCUCCGUCACCGACUGUCUUGUGCUUGCCGCUUCGGAUGCGGUCCUCUUCUUCGCCAUUUGCGUAGCGAGCUGCUAUCUCCAUCAUCUUGCUCAUGGAGAUGUCACCUGUUCGACCGAACUUCAGGUACAGCUCUCUGUACCGCACGCCUGCCUUGAAAGCGCAGACUGCUUGAUGCUCGGUGACGUUCUCCACCGUGUGGUAGAGAGUCGUCCAACGCUGGAUGAAGUCGCGCAGGGGCUCAUUCGGCUUCUGGACGCAAUGCUGGAGCUCCACGAGGCCCGCAGGGUGCUUGCACGUCCCUUCGAAGGUCCGGAUGAACACUCGGGCCAGAUCCGCCCAACUGUAGAUGCUCGAGGGGGCUAACUGAUUCAGCCAUGCUCGCGCCGAGCCGUCGAGCAUCAGAGGGAGGUGCUUCACGGCGACAUGGUCGUCCCCUCCUUCGAUCUGGACUGCCACUCGGUAGUCAUCUAACCAUGUUUCUGGCUUGGACUCUCCUGUAAACUUACUGAUUCCCGCCGCCAAUCGGAAGUUGGGCGGGAUGUCAGCCGAGCGGAUGGCUCGACUAAAACACUCGGGACCAGACACGAUGUUCCUGCUUCCACUUGGAAGGUCCAUAUCGUGACCAUCACGGUGGGCUCGGCCCCUGUCGACUCUUCACUGGGCGAUACGCCCUCUUGCGUCAGGUCUUGGAUCGUAAGUGUCGCCGACUGAACGCCGAUCAUCAUGAUGUCGGGACCCAUAGGGCCCACCCCGCGGAGGGGUGCGUGAGCGGCGGCGAUCUUCGUGAAUCAUGGAACGGAUGCCUCCCCUGUGGCGCUGAUGGGAACCAAGGCUGUGAACCGACCGAUGCGCAUUCGCAUGAACGGAACUAUUAUAGAUCCGGUUGUGCGACUGGGAGACUGCCGAAUUCUGCUGCUGCGCCGUGUGCAACAGGGCUCAGAUCUGCUCGAUCCCCCUUCCUGCCUCUAAAUCAGUCGGCUGGAGGGAAUCGGCUAUCUUGGCAGCCGCAGCCAAGUUGAGGAGGGGCGUGCGGAAUAACUCCACGUUGCUCCGCCGAGUGUGCCGACUGGUAGAACGGCGAGGAGGACGGCGUGCACCGGAUGCUUCGCCGACCUCGCGCUCGCUUCGGCCAGCUUGACGGGGAUCUUCAUGGGAGUUGGCCAUGUGUACUUCUGCUGCGGGCCCGCGACCCGCAUACUCGGAAGGAAAUUCAGUCGGAACCGAGUCCGAGUGCUGGGAUAGCGGGGCAACCACAACGGACUCUAGAACCGCCACUUGCGAAGACGCGUUCUGGCGCGCCUGGGCAUGCUGCACACAACGCUGGAGCCGCGGACGGCGGGACCGCUUGCUGCGGCGUGUGACGGCGGUGCGGGUCGACACCGGAGUCGACUGUUGGAGAAGAAGAAUGUCGCGGGCGCCGGCACGAAAGUGCAUAGCCCCACGACGGGAAGCGCCUCGACGUCGAGAGGAGCAUCCCGAAGCCAUGCCGAAUCGUCGACGAUGAAGGAGAGAGCGCCGAAGGAGAUCUGGUGACCCAUGCUCGAACCUCCACCGGACGACAUGACGAAAAGGAAGUAGUCGCAAACUCGCCGGAAGUCGCUUAGACGCCUGCCCCAAGGUGGGCGCCAACUGUCGUGGGUAUAAGCCUGACAGUAGAUGUGUAGGGUACGAAAAGGAUGGGCAGAGUCCUAGCUACGGCGAGAGUGUUUGAGUUCAGGCCCCUCUACGGUGGAGGUAAUAGCCCUACGUCUCAGUGCUUAGGGAGCUUGUUGUCGAGUGGAAUAGGGAAUACAAUGAGUUGCUAACUCCUUUACCAGCGGGGGAGGGUGGCUUAUAUAGAGUGCGCUGCCCUCCACAACGGUUCCGGUACAGGGGUGGAGUAGUGGCGAUUGAAUGCGUACGUUACAGGUAACGGAUGACCUAAAUGCUAAUAAAUGCACCUGGAAACGUACGACCGUUUCCCUCCAGGGGGGUUACGAUGUACCGAGUGGUAUCCAGUCGGUCAGCUUGAUAUCCUCCGAAUGUUAGUCCCCGACUAGAUCAUCGAGGACCUGUUACCGACUGGAUGAUGGGGACUCCUUAAUUCAGUUGGAACUGACUAAGGCUCUUGUCCUUUGUGAGGGGUAGUCCUUGGGUAGGACCUACAGGUCAGGCCUAUGACCCUACCCUAGGACUAUAACCCCAUCACUAGCAAAGCUUAAUGGGUGAGGUAUGGUUAAGUGGUGAGGUUGCAGUAGCGGCUAAGCAUAUAUUAGGUGGCUACACUUACGAGUACCAGAAAUAAGAGGGGGAAGAUCUAUGCAUAGCGGACGUGAACUACUGUUGAUCAAAUAAAUGAUCCUGAACACCUACCUACGUCAAACAUAACCCGACCGUGUCCUCGAUUGGAGAAGGAACUCACGAAAGAGACAGUCACGGUUACGCACACAGUUGGCAAGUUUUAAUUAAGUUAACUUCAAGUUAUCUAGAACCAGUGUUAAACAAAGUUUCCACGUUGCCACAUAACCGCGGGCACGGCUUUCCAAAAAGAUUUAACCCUGCAGGGGUGCUCCAACUAGUCCAUCACAAAUUACCACAAGCCGCAUAGAAAUCCUCAAUCACGAAGCUCGCGAUCUCGUCGGAUUCCCUAGUGGAAAACCUCAACUCUGAGAUUACCCAAUGCAUCACCGGAAUCCCGAUGCACAAGAUAUCUCGUCAAAGGUAAAACUAAUCCAGCAAGGCCACCCGGUGUGUCGAUGAACCUGAUAGGAGCCGCGUAUCUCGUUCUCAGGACACACCAUCUAUGCAUAGUGGACGGUAGCCAAACCUCGAGUUGCCCCGAGGUGGCACCGCCUACCGCUAGGUGGGUGGACCAACACUCAUGCGAAGCACUGGCCCGGGCGGUUGAUUAAAUUAUCCUCGAGGUCCGGAAAGUCCCUAUGCAAUUUUAUUAGGUGAUUAGGCAAAUGUAGUACCAAAGUUGGUCCUUGCCAGACCAGCUUUAAUCUAAAACGAAUUAUCAAGGGGGUCCCCAUAACAACCCCGAUCGUGCUAGGAGCGCUCAAUUAUGGAACAUAACACCGGUAGCCGAAACUAAGGGGGCAAAGGUGGAACAAAACACCAGGCUAGAAAGGCCGAGCCUUCCACCUUUUACCAAGUAUAUAGGUGCAUUAAAUUAAAUAGCAUAUAAUAUGGUGAUAUAACAAGGAACCCAUGCUUUCACAUGGAAGCAUCUGCACCUGCAACUAGCAACGCUAUCAACAGGGUUAAGCAAGCGGUAACAUAGCCAAUCAGUGGUUUGCUAGGUUGAACAGGUUGAAGGUUUUCAUGGCAUUGUUGAGAGGCUGAUAUUUAACAUGUGGUAGGCAACAAGACAUAAUCGAUAGCGGCGAUAAAACUAGCAUGGCAAUGAUAGUAAUGGUAUCUGAGGAAAUGGUCAUCUUUCCUGAGAUCCCGCUUGGAAGAAGAAUGACUCCGUGAAGCAGACGAACCAACGUAGUCGAACGGGUCCUCACAUCCGACACGCUUGCGGAACUCUAUCGAAACGAAGCAAACCGGAAACACAAAUCAACACACGAUAUUCACCACACGAUGCACAACACAUAUGAUGCAUGAGCAGCUGAAUACAUGCAAGUCACGGCAUGACAAAUCACGCAAUCAAACGCUACACAUUAAGUGAAGUUCAAUAUGCAACGAGUUGCAUAUUGACGAAACACCACGUUUAUUUAUUUAGUUCUAUCCCGAUUAGAUACACGGCAUUAUUAAAUGUGGUUAAACAUGGCAAGAGGUGAAGCGCAAUUAAACUAUCUCUCUAGGCAUUUUAAAUGAGGUCGGAAAUGACAUAUAGCACCUCCGAGACGACCUCACAUGUUAAUUUACAAUUCUGUCCAGAUCUGAACUAAUGCAUUUAAUUAGUUGUUAAACAGCAAAACAAAUAGAUUCACGUGAUUCUACGCGUCAUUUCAAGCAAUUUACACAUAGAAAUCAUCUCCAACGGAGCUACGGGUCAAAAGUUACAAGCACCGCAAGAUAUGAUGGCAUGAAUGCAAUAUGUGUGCAACGAUGGCUAUGAGCACUUCAAAACAUACAGACAGCAAGAGAAAAUGAAACUACACGAGAUUCUAAGCAAGUUUCAUGUAGGACACGAUCAAAUCGGAGCUACGGAUCAAAAACUACGAGCAAAACAAGAUAUCACCACAAUCUGCCAAAAUCAGCCACAUAGCAUUUUCUACACCCCACAACUAUGGGCUACUCAACUCCAAUAUACUCAACCAAGGCAUGUCACGAAAUAGGGCAAGAAGCACUACCACAAACAACUAACUACAACUAGCAUGGCAUCAAGGAUCACUAGGGAAAGAAGUCACAAAAUGGCAUCCCACACACUAUUUCAGACUUAGUGAAAAUUACACCUCAUGAAAGUGCAGUUUUCGAUCAGAAGCUAUAUUGAAAGCAGCAAAACCAAUAGCUACAGGACUCCAAAUGGCAUUAAAAUUCACAGCAAGCUAUAGAAACACAAGGACUACAACUUACUCCAUUGGACCAACCUCAAAAGAGCUACAGAUCACAAGAUACAAGCAAGACAAGACAGCAACAAAAUAUAACAGAUUCCAGACUUGGAAAUAUUUUCAGCACCUCCAAAUCAGCACUAUUUCUAGCAACUUGAGAGCAAGCAAACCACACCUAAACAUGCAUAUCUAUUGCAACUAAAAAUACCAGGGGCUAGACAAAACACCCAAGAUCAACUCACUAGUUGACAUCUCCGUCAAACGAGGCACGGAAUAAAUCCUACGAAAUAAACAAGAGGGCAACACGGCAAAAUAUCUCGCGAACUAACUUACUCAAAAGCUAAAACUAAUUGCACAGAAGAAUCCAAUCCAAUGGAUUUUUCUACCCCGAAAACAUAUAAAAUAUGUGGGGUGCAACACAAAAAUAUCGCGACACUUAAAUGCGAGAAAAAAAACUAUACACGGGAAAAUAAACUAGCGGCAAUCCCUACACGCAAAAAUACAAAUGACUGCACUAAAAUACAUGGGAAAAUGGUUCCUAAAACAUGAACAUUUUAUCUAAGGCAUUCGGGCAAACCGGACACGCGCGAAAAAUAAACUACGGGCAAAACAUAUUAGGACAGCACGUGUUUCUAGGCAUACGGUGCGCUAAACGAUGUCAAACAAAUAUGCAAGUUUUAAAUUCGUAUUCUAUGCGCAAAACUACCACAAAGCCAUAUACAACUCGCUCCGAUCCGACAUACGGAUUAAAAACUACGGACAAUUUAAAAUAGCCAUUUUCCUGAAACUAAUUAAAACCGAAAUCCUAAAAAAAAAGCUAACGGGCCUAAUCUGAACAGGGCCCAACAUGAGCUUGGGUGCAAGUGCUAAAUCGUGCCACGGGCGCUGGAUAGAGGCAGGGCUCACCUUGGGCCUAGCCCAAGCCGACCUGGUGAUGGGCUCGGGGAGGCGGUCCGGCUUGGGGCGGAGUGGCCGAGGCGGCGCUGACGCGGGGGUGGGCCGAGCUGGCCGAGGCCCAUGCGGUACUGUGCCCUGUCAUCGCGGGGGCGAGUGCUGCGCCUCCUGAUCGGGUCUGGCCUUCGGCGGCGGCGGAUCCGGGAGAUCUCGAUGGAACGACGCCGGGCGGCGGCUGCCGGCGGCCUCCACGGCGGCGCAGGGACCCGGCGAGGCACCCCCAACCGGCGGCGAGCACGGGAAGGAGGAGGCCUAUGGUGCGACUACGUGCAGCGCUCGGGCCGGCGGGAGGUUGAAGGCGGCGACGCUCCGGCGGCCAUGGACGGCAGGGCACCGAGGCAGGGCCGUCCAGAGGCUGCGGUGGUCGGCUCCGGCGAGGUGCUGGUGAGGGCACGCGGGAGGACUCCGGUGAGGCGCGCGAGCAGGACUCCAGUGAAGCUCCUGCGGGGCUCGGAAGGCAGGGAGGCAGAAUGGGCGGCGGCGGCGGUUCGGGCCCCGGGUGGGCUCGUGCGGGCCGGUCGCUGGGGGGAGGAGGUGCUGCGGGGAGAGGUGGGAGACCAUGUGGCGGCGGCUGGGUUGGUGGGCGCGGAAAUCAAGGCAGCCAGCUAGGGUUUCCCUAAAAUGGCGGGGAGGGCUUCUUUUAUAGGAAGGGGGCUAGGAUGGAGUGUAUGUGGGGGUUUUUUGACCCUCCGAUCACGAUCGUGCGAUCCGAUCGGAGAGGCGGGUUAGGGUUAGCUGUGUAGAGUGGUUUUGGCUAAGAUGAGAGGGAAGUGGUGCGGCGCGGCAACGAUUUUUAAAACACCAACAAACGUCCGACGAUAGACCGAAUACAGUGCCGCUACGGUCGACCGUUCGGGUACGAGACGCACUCCGAUCGCGACGAAAUUUGACAGGUGGCCUAACUACAGCUAAUAAAGACCGCGCGUCGAAUCUCAACCCGAUCAGAGGAAGUUUUUCACACACUUUUAAAACAGGGUUUUGACGAUGCCGCGGGCGCGUGCAUGUGCGGUCGGGCUCAGAACGGACAACGACGCGAACCGGCAACUAACAACGGAUGCAAGUUUUGAAAACUAGCGGCAACAGAGAUGUCGAUGCGAUGUCGAUGAUGCGCAUGAUGCGAUGGUGAUGCGACAAAAGAAAAAUAACACACGACGGGAAUGGAAUAGAAAAGGGGGAUCUUCUGGAACAUCGGCACCGGGCUGUCACACACUUUUACUUCAUUGCACUUCCCGCCUUCAGAUCUCACUUUGCAAUCAAUCUUGAAGGGAUUGACAACCCCUUUAUAGCAUUGGAUGCAAGCUUGUUUGUGUUUGCGCAGGUACUCAGGACACUUGGCUUGAUUCUCGUACUGGAUUGAUACCUUGGUUCUCAAAACUGAGAGAAAUACUUACUGCUACUGUGUUGCAUCACCCUUUCCUCUUCAAGGGAAAAACCAACGCAAGCUCAAGAGGAAGUAGAAGGAUUUGUGGCGCCCUUGCCGGGGAGGAUCAAGUCAAGAAUAGUCUCCUGUCAACGUGUCAAUUUCUGGCACCGGGGAUUAUUCUAGGUGAAGCUCAUCCAAGUAAGUGUCACAAAUUCAUCUCUUUCAUUUACUUUUUUGCCUCUCGUUUUCCUCUCCCCCACUUCUGAAAAACAAAAAUUUACAAAAAUAUUUGCCUUUUUCGUUCGCCCUUUUCUCUCGCUUGCUUUCUGUUCGCUUGUGUGCUUGUUUGCUUGCUGAAGUCACCAUGACUAAAAACACCAAACUUUGUGACUUCUCGAAUACUAAUAAUAAUGAUUUUAUUAGUACUCCGAUUGCUCCCGCCACUAGUGCGGAAUCAUACGAAAUCAAUGCUGCUUUGUUGAAUCUUGUUAUGAAAGAGCAAUUCUCCGACCUUCCUAGUGAAGAUGCCGCAUCCCAUAUUAAUACCUUCAUUGAGCUUUGCGAUAUGCAAAAGAAUAAAUAUGUGGAUAAUGAUGUGAUUAAAUUGAACCUUUUUUCGUUCUCGCUGCGAGAUCGCGCAAAAACUUGGUUUUCAUCUUUGCCCAAAAAUAGCAUUGAUUCUUGGAACAAGUGCAAAGAUGCUUAUAUAUCCAAGUAUUUUCCGCCAGCUAAGAUUACCUCUCUCCGUAAUGAUAUCAUGAAUUUUAAGCAACUUGAUCAUGAACAUGUUGCACAAUCUUGGGAGAGGAUGAAAUUGAUGAUUAGAAAUUGUCCCGCUCAUGGCUUGAGUCUUUAGAUGAUUAUACAAAUCUUCUACGUUGGUUUGAAUUUCGCUUCUAGAAAUAUCUUGGACUCCGCCUCAGGUGGAACGUUCAUGGAAAUCACAUUAGGAGAAGCCACAAAACUCCUAGACAAUAUCAUGACAAACUACUCUCAGUGGCACACUGAAAGGUCACCUACUAGUAAGAAGGUACACGCUAUAGAAGAAAUUAACUCGUUAAGUGCUAAGAUGGAUGAGUUAAUGAAUUUGGUUGCUACUAGAAGUGCUCCUUUAGAUCCUAAUGAUAUGCCCUUGUCUUCCUUGAUUGAGAGUAGAAACGCGAGCUUGGACGUUAAUUUUGUUGGUAGGAAUAAUUUUGGCAACAACAAUGCUUUUAGAGGAAACUAUGUUCCUAGGCCUUUUCCUAGUAACCCCUCUAAUAACUUUGGCAACUCCUACAACAAUACUCAUGGAAAUUACAAAAAAAUACCCUCUGAUCUAGAGAGUAAUAUCAAAGAGUUUAUCAACUCGCAAAAGAUUUUCAAUGCGUCCAAAGAGGAAAAACUACUCAAAAUUGAUGAUUUGGCUAGGAGCGUUGAUAGAAUGUCUAUUGAUAUUAACGCUUUGAAAGUUAGAUGUGCUCCUCCCAAGAUCAAUAUGGAUGAAACUUUGAAAGCUAUGCGUGUUUCCAUGAAUGAGAGCAAAGAAAGAACCGCCCAAAUUCGUGCUAGACAUGAAUGGCUUAAAAAGGUGUGUUCUCGUGAUAAGAAUCACGAAGAUCUUAAAGUGCUUGGUGUGACUCCCAUUGAAUCUUUGUUUUCUUGUGACAAACCUAAUGAUGAUGGGGCUGGAUAUGAAUCCACUUUGGUUGAAAAACGCCCCAAUGAUUCGGAGUUCAUCUAUCUUGAUGCUAAAAGCAUUGAAAGUGGAGUAGAAGAUAUUAAAACUUUGAGUAGUAAUGAAACUACUACUUUGGAUUUCAAGGAAUUCAAUUAUUAUAGUUGCUCUUUGAUUUAAUGCAUUUCCUUGAUGCAAUCCAUGCUAAACUCUCCACACGCUUAUAGCCAAAACAAGGCCUUUACCGAUCAUAUCGUCGAUCCUAUGAUAAAAUCUCUUGAAGAGAAACUUGAGUUGGAAGUUUCUAUUCCUAGAAAGCUUCAUGAUGAGUGGGAACCUACUAUCAAAAUCAAAAUCAAAAACUAUGAAUGCAAUGCUUUGUGUGAUUUGGGUGCUAGUGUUUCCACGAUUCCAAAGUCUUUAUGUGAUGUACUAGGCUUUAAUGAGAUUGAGGAGUGUUCUCUUAAUUUGCAUCUUGCGGAUUCUACUGUCAAGAAACCCAUGGAAAGGAUCAAUGAUGUUCUUAUUACUGCAAAUAGGAACUAUGUACCCGUGGAUUUCAUUGUGCUUGAUAUUGAUUGCAAUCCUACAUGCCCUAUCAUUCUUGGUAGACCUUUCCUAAGGACUAUUGGUGCUAUCAUCGAUAUGAAGGAAGGGAAUAUUAGGUUUCAAUUUCCUUUAAAGAAGGGCAUGGAGCAUUUUCCUAGAAAAAAAUAAGAUUGCCUUACGAAUCCAUGAUGAGGGCUACUUAUGGUUUGAGCACCAAAGACGACGAUACGUGAUUCUAUCGCCUUAUGCCUAGCUAAGGGCGUUAAACAAUAGCGCUUGUUGGGAGGCAACCCAAUGAAUUUAUCUUUUUACUUUCUGUUUUGUUGUGUCCACACCAUCAUAAUUCUGUUAUGAUUGUGUAUUUUGUGUUUAUUUUUGUGUUUGAGCCAAGCAAAACCUUUAUGACUAGUUUGGUGUGGGUUGUUUGAUCCUGCUAAAAAAAGACAGAAACUUCUCGCUCACGAAAUUAUUUUUCAUUUUUAUUCAGAAAGAGCUUUUGAGUUUAUUCUUUUUGAUUCUGGUUUAUGUGCCUUUUUCUCAGGCUUUCUUAAUUUGUCAGAGUUUUUUAGGUACCAUAAGUAUACGAAGUAUACAGAUUGCUACAGACUGGUCUAUUUUUGACAGAUUCUGUUUUUUGUUGUGUUGAUUGCUUAUUUUGAUGAAACUAUGGAUAAUAUCAGGGGGUACUAGCCAUGGGAAAGUGAGAAUAAAGUAAUCUAACACGAAUAUAAAUAUAAAUCAAGUUUUCUAAAGUACCUAAAGAGGUGGUAGUUUGUUUUCUUGUGCUAAUGAUAUCACGAGUUUCUGUUUAAGUUUUGUGUUGUGAAGUUUUCAUGUUUUGGGUGAUGUUCUCAUGGACAAAGGGAUAAAGAGUGGAAAGAGCUCAAGCUUGGGCAUUCCCAAUUAAUCCCAAGCCAAAUUCAAGGACACCAAAAAAUCCUAAGCUUGGGGAUGCCCCGGGAAGGCAUCCCCUCUUUCGUCUUCAAUCCAUCGGUAACAUUACUUGGAGCUAUAUUUUUAUUCACCACAUGAUAUGUGUUUUGCUUGGAGCGUCUUGUAUCGUAGGAGUCUUUUCUUUUUGUUGUGUCACAAUCAUCCUUGCUGCACACCUUUUGAGAGAUACAUACACUCAUCGUGAAUUUUCUAGAAUACUCAUUGUGCUUCACUUAUAUCUUUUGAGUUAGGCAAUUUUGCUCUAUGUGCUUCACUUAGAUCUUUUAGAGCACGGUGGUGCGUAACUUGGUUGUUGGCAUGUGCUAUGAAAGUAGUCCCAAAGGUGAUAGGUACCGAAAGAGCAUACAAUAAAACUUCCAUCUUCAUGUGCAUUGAGUAGAAAGAGAAGUUUGAUUCCUCUCAAUUAGUUUUGAGACGUGGAUUUGGUAAUAUUAAGAGUUAUGUUAGCAGGGUGUUGUGAAUCUAGAAAUACUUGUGUUGAAGUUUGUGAUUCCCGUAACAUGCACAUAUAGUGAACCGCUAUGUUAGGAAGUCGGAGCAUAAUUGAUCUAUUGAUUGUCAUGCUUUGUGUUGCGGUCGGGAUCGCGCGAUGGUUUACACCUACCAACCCUUCCCCUAGGAGUAUGCGUUUAGCAGUUUGUUUCGAUUACUAAUAAAAACUUUCACAACAAGUAUGUGAGUUAUUCAUGACUAAUGUGAGUCCAUGGUAUACAUGCACUUUCACCUUUCACCAUUGCUAGCCUCUCUAGUACCGCGCAAUUUUCGCCGGUGCACAAACCCACCAUAUGUCUUCCUCAAAACAGCCACCAUACCUACCUACUAUGGCAUUUUCAUGGCCAUUCCGAGAUAUAUUGCCAUGCAACUCCCACCGUUCUGUCUCAUGACUUGUGUCGCCAUUCUCAUAUUGCCAUUGCAUGAUCGUAAGAUAGCUAGCGAGAUGUUUCAAUGUCAUACACCAAGCUAGAUCGUUGCACAUCCUGGUACACUGCCGGAGGCAUUUCCUAUAGAGUCAUCAUCGUUCCAAGUUUUGAGUUGUGAGUAAAUAAAAGUGUGAUGAUCAUCAUUAUUAGAGCAUUGUCCCAUGUGAGGAAAUAAAAAAGGCCAAAGUUGCCCACAAAAAAAGGGAGAUGUGGAAAGAGGCCAAAGAGCCCAAACAAAAAAAAAACAAAAAAAGAGAGAAAAAGAGAGAAGGGACAAUGCUACUAUAUCUUUCCACACUUGUGCUUCAUAAUAGCACCAUGUUCUUCAUGAUUGAGAGAGUCUCGUUUUGUCGCCACCAUAUACUAGUGGGAAUCUUUAUUAUAUAACUUGGCUUGUAUAUUCCAAUGAUGGGCUUCCUCAAAAUUGCCCUAGGUCUUCGUGAGCAAGCAAGUUGGAUGCACACCCACUAGUUCUCCUUUUGAGCUUUCACAUACUUAUAUCUCUAGUGCAUCCUUUGUAUGGUAAUCCCUACUCAUUCACAUUGAUAUAUAUUAAUGGGCAUCUCCAUAGUCCUUUUAUACGCCGAGUCAAUGUGACCAUCUCCUUUUUGUCUCGUAACCUCCACCACACUCUAUUCCACCAUAGUGCUAUAUCCAUGGCUCACGCUCAUGUAUUGCGUGAGAGUUGAAAAAGGUUUGAGAAAGUAAGAGUGCAAAAACAAUUACUUGGCCAAUACCGGGGUUGUGCAUGAUUUAAAUUAGUUGUGUGGGGAUGAUGGAGCAUAGCCAGACUAUAUGAUUUUUGUAGGGAUAACUUUCUUUGGCCUUGUUAUUUCGAAAGUUCAUGAUUACCUUGCUAGUUUGUUGAAGUAUUAUUGUUUUCAUGUCAAUAGAAAACUAUUGUUUUGAAUCUUACGGAUCUGAACAUUCAUGUCACAUGAAAGAAAUUACAAAGGACAAAUAUGAUAUGUAGCAUUCCACAUCAAAAAUUCAGUCUUUAUCACUUCCCUGCUCGAGGACGAGCAGGAGUUAAGCUUGGGGAUGCUUGAUACGUCUCCAACGUAUCUAUAAUCUUUUAUGGUUCCAUGCUAUUAUCUUGUCAAACUUCAGAUGUUUUGUAUGCCUUUUAUAUCUUUUUUGGGACUAACUCAUUAACUGAGUGCCAAGUGCCACUUCCUGUUUUUUUCAUGUUUUUUACCCUUUUCACAGGAGAAUUUUAAACGGUGUCCAAACGGAAUAAAACUUCUAAAAAGAUUUUUUUCCGGAACAGAAGAUACGCAAGGGACGUGAGAACCAAGGCAGAGGCCACCAGGGGAGGCCACAAGCCCCCUAGGCACGGCCAGGGGGGCGCGCCUAGCACGCUUGUGGGCCCCCUGUGGCUCGUCUGCCCUACCUCUUCCGCCUAUAAAUUCCCGAAAAAUCCAAAACUGCGAGAGAGAUCCACGAAAAUACUUUUCCACCGCCGCAAGCUUCUAUCUCUGCAAGAUCCCAUCUAGGGCACGUUAUGGUGCCCUGCCGGAGGGGGAAUUCGGAUACGGAGGGCUUCUUCAUCAACACCAUGGCCUCUCUGAUGAUGCGUGAGUAGUUCACCAUAGACCUUCGGGUCCAUAGCUAGUAGCUAGAUGGCUUCUUCUCUCUCUUGGAUCUUCAAUACAAAGUUCUCCAUGAUCUUCAUGGAGAUCUAUCCUAUGUAAUCUUCUUUUGCGGUGUGUGUUUCGAGAUCCGAUGAAUUGUGGAUUUAUGAUCAGAUUAUCUAUGAAUCUUAUUUGAGUUUCUUCUGAUCUCUUAUAUGCAUGAUUUCAUAUCCUUGUAAUUCUCUUCGAGUUGUGGGUUUUGUUUGGCCAACUUGAUCUAUGAUUCUUGCGAUGGGAGAAUUGCUUUGUUUUGGGUUCAUACCGUGUGGUGACCUCACCCAGUGACAGAAGGGGUAGCAAGGCACGCAUCGUGUUGUUGCCAUCAAGGGUAAAAAGAUGGGGUUUACAUCAUUGGUUUGAGUUUAUCCAUCUACAUCAUGUAAUCUUGCUUAAGGCGUUACUCUGUUCGUCAUGAACUCAAUACACUAUACGCACGCUGGAUAGCGGUCGAUGUGUGGAGUAAUAGUAGUAGAUGCAGAAAGUAUCGGUCUACUUGUCUCGGACGUGAUGCCUAUAUGUAUGAUCAUUGCCUUAGAUAUCGUCAUGACUUUGCGCGGUUCUAUCAAUUGCUCGACAGUAAUUUGUUCACCCACCGUAAUACUUGCUAUUUUGAGAGAAGCCUCUAGUGAACACUAUGGCCCCGGGGUCUACUUCACAUCAUAUUUUCAGCCUUACACUUUUACUUCGUUGCACCUUCCGCCUUCAGAUCUCACUUUGCAAUCAAUCUUGAAGGGAUUGACAACCCCUUUAUAGCGUUGGGUGCAAGCUUGUUUGUGUUUGCGCAGGUACUCUGGACACUUGGUUUGAUUCUCCUACUGGAUUGAUACCUUGGUUCUCAAAACUGAGGGAAAUACUUACUGCUACUGUGUUGCAUCACCCUUUCCUCUUCAAGGGAAAAACCAACGCAAGCUCAAGAGGCAGCACACCACCACCUGCUACUGAAUCUAAUAUGUAGCAAGUAAUUGAUGAUGCUACUUCUGCUAUGCAUGUUGCCUAUGAUGAUACUUUGCUCGAUACUAUUGUGCCUCUUGGUGAAUUUCUUGAUGAACAAAUUGCUAGAGUGAAUGCUGAAACUGAUGAUAUUGCUGAAUCUGAUGAAAUUAGUGAAACUGAACACUAUGAUGCACCUGCUAGACCUAGCUCUCCUAGAUAUGAAUUGCCUAAUAUACCUAAGGGUUAUGUUAUGGAAGGAUAAGUAGCCAGGGACUUUCUUGCUUGCAAGGAUAGAGAUGAUCUUAAGAAAUUGCUAUGCAAGUGGAAGGAAAAAUCUUUGAAUGCUAAAAUGCAAUAUGAUCCCAAGUUUGUUACUUCACCUAUUUUUGUUACGGAUAAGGAUUAUGAAUUCUUUGUCGAUCCUGAGUUAAUUACUUUGGUAGAAUCCGAUCCUUUCCAUGGUUACGGAUCUAAAACUAUUGUGGCACACCUUACUAAAUUGUAUGAUAUAGCCACCCUUUUUACUCAUGAGGAAAAAAAUCGUUAUUACUAUAUUCUUAAGUUGUUUUCGUUCUCAUUAAAGGGUGAUGCUAAGAUGUAGUUUAAUUCUCUUUCUCCUGGUUGUGUGCGUAGUCCCCGGGAUAUGAUUUACUACUUCUCUGGAAAAAACCUGCCCAUAAGAAACAGGUUGCUUGCAGAAAAUAUUUAACUUUGUGCAGAUUGAAGAAGAGAGACUCCCACAAGCUUAGGGGAGGCUUCUCCGGUUAUUUAAUGCUUUGCCUGACCACCCUCUCAAGAAAAAUUGAAUACUUGAUAUCUUUUAUAAUGGACUAAUCGAUGCUUCUAGGGACCACCUAGAUAGUUGUGCUCGUUGUGUUUUCAAGGAAUGAAGUGUUGAACAAGCUGAACUACUAUUGAAUAAUAUAUUGAGCAAUGAUAAUGAUUGGACUAUUCCUGAACCACCUCCAAAACCAACUCCGAAGAAAAGAGGUAUUCUAUUCCCCAGUCCUGAAGAUAUGCAAGAGGCAAAGAAAUCUAUGAAACAAAAAGGUAUAAAAGAUGAAGAUGUUAAGAAUCUACCAUCUAUUGAAGAAAUACAUGGUCUUGAUAACCCGACACAGGUAGUUGAGGUAAAUUCUCUUCGUAGAUUUGAUGAAGGUGAUAUUCCUUAUAAUAAGUCUGCUAGCCAAUGCUUGGAUGAAUUUGAUAACUUUGUGGUUAAACAAGAAAAGUUCAAUGCUUAUGUUAGGAGACAAUUGAAACAUAAUGAUUACAUGCUUGAUCGCUUGGGUGAUUAUAUGAGUAGAACUGUUAAUGACCUUAGUCUUAUUAGCAAACAUGCUUCCAUGGUAACUACUCUUGAUAACCAACAAGUAUAGGGGAUCACAACAGUUUUCGAGGGUAGAGUAUUCAACCCAAAUUUAUUGAUUCGACACAAGGGGAGCCAAAGGAUAUUCUCAAGUAUUAGCAGCUGAGUCGUCAAUUCAACCACACCUGAAAUAGUUAAUAUAUGUAGCAAAGUAUUUAGUAGCAAAGUAGUAUGGAAGUAACAGUAAUGGUGACAAACGUGAUAGUAGCAGUUUUGUAGUGAUUGUAACAGUAGCAACGAAAAAGUAACUUAGCAAAGAUCAAUAUGUGGAAAGCUCUUAGGCAAUGGAUCAGUGAUGGAUAAUUAUGUCGGCUCGCAUUCAUCAUGCAAUAGUCAUAACAUAGGGUGAUACAAAACUAGCUCCGAUUCAUCAAUGUAAUGUAGGCAUGUAUUCCAUAUAUAGUCAUACGUGCUUAUGGAAAAGAACUUGCAUGACAUAUUUUGUCCUACCCUCCCGUGGCAGCGGGGUCCUAAUGGAAACUAAGGGAUAUUAAGGCCUCCUUUUAAUAGAGAACCAGACCAAAGCAUUAGCACUUAGUGAAUACAUGAACUCCUCAAACUACGGUAAUCACCAGAAAGAAUCCCAGUUAUUGUCACCCUGGGGGAUGCGGAUCAUAACUCGUAAUAGGUGUCUAUAAGUUGCAAGAUAGGAUCAAGAACACAUAUAUAUUCAUGAAAACAUAAUAGGUUUAAAUCUGAAAUCAUGGCACUCGGGCCCUAGUGACAAGCAUUAAGCAUAGCAAAGUCAUAGCAACAUCAAUCUCACAACAUAGUGGAUAGUAGGGAUCAAACCCUAACAAAACUAACUCGAUUACAUGAUACUCCCUCCGUUCCAAAAUAUAAGACCUUUUAGAGAUU
rnacentral:lncRNA from 1 species